GGCUAAGAAUUCUAAGAUCUUAGCUCCGCCUCUGCAACUUAUUGCUGCUAAAAGCGGCAAAUUGUUUAGAUUAAAAUUCCUACUGUAUUUAAUUGCUUUUGUUUUCCGCUUUUAAGCGAAAUGCAAUUGAAUGUGUGGAACACCACCACUCAACCUCAAUAUCAGAAACAAAAAUAACAAAUCAAUGGAUCAAAUGAAGAAGACAAGAAGAAGACCACUUAUUCUGCUGAUGUUGGUAGGCUCAUAUCAAGUGUAAAUUUUAGCAGGUCUGUCUUCGUGGGGGAAAAUUCUCAAAUUGACAGGAGAUGUAAGCAAGAGAGAAGAGGAAAUCAAAAGACAAUAUUAUCAACUUGAGUUUGAGUGAUUUUAAGCUGCCAAAGCCAUCAUUAGGCGGCAACUUCACCCUUCCCGCAAGUCUUUAAUCCCUUGCCUCCUCUUCUCCUCAACAACAUUCUCCCGGCCAAUUCGAGCAUUUCUCUGCCGUAGGAGAGAAAAAUCCCCACACUCUAGGCCUCUCUCUUUUCAAUCAUAGCCCACCAAUCCAUCCCAAAUUUCAAGAAUACAUCAGAACCAAUUAUGUUAAAUCAAAAUCGAAACCCCUGUUUUUCUCGAUUUUUCCUCUACACGCGAGAAAGAUUACAAAAGGUCGCGAGUUCAAGCCAUAGACGACAGCAUGAAAAUUUUUGCUGAUUCAGAUAUUUAUAUUGGGGACAUUAGGGUUCCUUGGUUCGAGUUUAAACCCAAGAAUUCUAGCUCUUUCUAGACGUGCUUUAUGGAUGCAUUUGCAAGUUCGACUCCCUUGGAUAAGGCCCAAUUCUAAAACCAAACCAGGCCCAAAUAAGCAAAAAGUUGAGCCAUCAGUCAGGUUAACACAACAAUUGUCCUUGUGAAUAGAACCCACGAAUGUCAACGGGUCAGAGUUCAGGUCGGAUUUGGAAAUUCCUGACCCAGACCCGUUUUUAUGUAGUAGAUCCAGAUCCGACCCGUAUAUUCAAUGGGUCUCGAUCUUAAAGUUUUGGAAUCGGGUUCGACGGGUCCCGAGUCUAUCCGAAAAGAAAAGGUCCAAAUUUAAAUAUUUUAAAAUUAAAUCCAAAACCAAUCACAAAUCCAAUCUCCAAACUUAAACAUAUCAAAUUACAAAACUAAAUUACAAAUAAUUCGCACUAGUCAAUUCAAAAUUAAUCACAAAUCAAUUUACAAAGUCAUUACUAAAUUGUUAAUUUGGUAAAAGAAUGUAUUUAGAAAUAUUUAUAUUUUAUAAUUAUUAAUAUAUUAUUCGAUUCUAGGUCGGAUAUGGGGUUAGAAUCCUAUAUUCUAUAUCUGACCCCCCUUUUUUUUUGUAAGAAUAAACAAGUCUGAGUCCGAGUAUCGAAAUUAUUUUCAACCCAAACCUGGAAAAAUUUAUCGGAUCCGGGUCGGGCUCAGAUCCAAACCUGACCCGUUGACACGCCAAAUAGAACCUAAUCAUAGUGUGAUUACGACCUUGUUCUCGAUUCCUUUAAUUUUACAAAAUCUGAUUAAAUAAAUUGAUUAUGGACAGUAAUUAAAAUUUUAAAAAAAAAACUUUUUUUGAUUGAUUAUAUAUAUUAGUUUUUUCUUGUCAUUAAAAAAAUUUAAUAAAAAAAUCCAGAACAUCACAAAAACUGAUUAUUCAAAAUCAGAAUCUAUAAUCAGUGAAAAAUAAUCAAUCGAGAACAAGCGCUACGACUACGCUAAUCAUUGGCAUGUAAGAUGUGAUACUACGUUCUUUCUGCAAAUAUUUCCUAUGGUAGUACAAUGAAUCAACCAUUGGGCCAAUGGCUCAGUAGCCACCAGGGAGGGAUUUAAGUCCCUCCUUGGGCUGUUGGUGAGGUUUGAACCCUCACCAGCAGCGAAAAAAAAUCUAAAGGUUGUGCCAUAGCACUCUCUUAGUUUAGUUAGAUUUGUAUACCCACUAGCCCCUAUAACAGUCUCCUUAGGCUCCCCCUCCCCCUAGAUUAGGAUAGAAUAUAUUAUACAAAUGUAUCGUUGCUGACAAAAAAAAAAAAAAGUACAAUGAAUCAAGUUUGAUAGUUACGCUAUAUUAGACUAAAUCUACUGAAGCACUCUGUUUGUCUCCAUACGAGAAGCGGGGUACAAUUGACAUGAUUUGUACCAGGCAGUUCUUUGGGUGAAAGAUGAGUUGAAAUCUUUUACUACCCAUCACAUCUUUUGCUGUUAAAUAUAAUUGAAAACAGAGGAAAUUAAUCCAAAGGAAUAAGACGAAAACACAACAUGUAAGGCAAAUUUGAUUGUCAUGAUCUUUGGCACGUAAACUAUGAUGCUGGACGUUGUAGGAACAUAAACGAUGGACGUUAUAGGAUUAGUAAACUAAAGGAGAUUACUGCUCAGAACGGGACAGUGGAUCAUGGUAAAGUCACGAUCUCUUCCUUUUGGGUUGUAGUGUCUUCAGUUUGUUCGAAAUGUACUCAAUGAUCUCCUUCAAGCUAGCUUUUCUUCCUUUCUGACAGUCCCACAAUUCAGAAACUGGAUAUCUUCCACUAGGAUUGUACUCGUUCAAUUCCAUUAGUGCAUUUGUUACGGCCUGGUAGACGUCUUCCCCGUAUUCACUCCUUAGCUGUUUCAACUUUUCAUCAUUGUCAUCUAUAAUUUCCUGCACUCAUUAGAAACUGAAAUUCAGGGAACAGAUCCAACAGUAUGUGUUUUACUUGGGUAUUUGCUAAAUUAUGAUGCGUAAUCUCAAAUUAAAUCUGCACGUGUUUUCCUCCUUUCGACAAAUAUAAGUAGCUUCUACUAUGACGAAUAGUCAAUUAUCUAUGGCCCAAGCAAUCAGAAACUGCGACAUCCCAAAAUGACUGUCCAUUAAUCAUUUUGGAAGUAUGACAAGGUUGAUUGCAUUUCAUAAACAUAAGAACGAUAAAACUUUUGGAAUCAGAUACUUUUUGUGCAAGUUAAAAAGUGUUUUGAUGGUAUUUAGGAAGAGAGGCUUACAAUCAAUCUUCCACGGUUUUCAACUCUCUUAAAAGGAUGCCAGUUUGCACUUCGCACAUUUUCUUCCCACAGUGAACAUAGCUUUAAAGAUUCAGCGUGCCUGUCUUCACUAGAGCACUUCUUCGAGAACAAAGCUUCAAAGGGUUUUGUAUCAAUCUGUCCCAUUCUUUUGAUUUGGAACUUUCUGAGGUGGUGAGUGGACAAGCCCUGCAAAGCCUGGUGGGGAAGAUUGUAGAAGUUGAAGGGAAGGUCUUAUAUUUUAGAUCUUAUAAACAGAACAACAAUUAAGGAGUCAACACAUUUUGAACAAAAGGAAAUACUAAAGUUCAAGAAAAGGAUACUUGAUCAUACUCUUAUAGCUUCUUUGCGAGCAUCUUGAAGUUCAUCAUUCAUCAUGCGCUCUUUAGUGAUGAGAGCUUGAUGUUCAUCUUCCAUGUCAGAAAUUUUAUCUUCCAAGGCUUUCAAAUAUACCUUCAAUUGCAUAAGCUAUAGGAAUCCAACGAUUAGGGAGAGAUGGACUAAAGGCAUGACACAUUCAAGAUUCAAGAAUAGCACUGAUAAAUUGCGAAUGAACUGGUCCUAAAUAUAUUUGACUGGGAGCAUCAAAGAGGAUGCUUUUUAAUGACAGAUAAUCAUUUUCAAAUGUCAAAGAACUUAAAAAUGGAUGAACAUUCUUCCUCACACAAUCACACCUUAAGACGUCUGUAAUCAACAGCAUUGUGUGCUUUACUUUCAUUUGGAUUCUCACAACAGCUCAUGAAAAUUUGUUUAGUAUCAGAGAGGACUGUACUAGUCGCCGCCUCUAGGUAAUUUGACAGAAAGACAGAUAAACAGGUGCAUUCGCAUAGAUGAGACACGGAAACUGUACCUCAUCCUUGUUACCCAUGGUAUGCUGUCCAUUGAGGUCCGUUUUGGAGUCAAAUUCCUCGAUUUCAUUGAUUGCUUGCUCUAAGUUCAUCUUCUGAGAUUCCACUACACAUCCCAUGUCACUGUUCUCUUGCUUUCUGCCUUGUGCAACUACGGUUCCUUGCACUAGUUACAGCACACAAGUAGACAUAUAAAAGAAUUCUUAAAUAUCUUAGCUAAGAAAAUUCUUAAAGAGACAUACGUUGCAAGAUAUAGCUAAGAAAAUUCUGUUCUGAAUCACAAGAAACAUGGUUGUAGAAAUAAGCUAAGAGCAUAUAUUACACUCUGGCUGCAGUUUAAACUUUUUACUCACAGUGAUUGAAUUCUUCCUUGCCUUGCUGCUCAAGUUCUUUCUUUUGGAAUUCCAUCCUGCUCUUCAGCUUUUCAAGUUCUAGCUUGAAGUUUUGCUUUGCUUCAAGAGCUGUGAAAUUGCCAUUUUGAAUCGAAAUUUAAAAUUCACCAAUCAGCAUACCAAGCAAUCAGAACUAGGCAGUAUGCACUUGUUAAGAAAGAAAAGAAAAAGUACUAUGCACCCGUUAAGUUUCACCCUUAGAGCAGUUUGACAUUUCUCAAUGGUCAUUUAAUUGUUAACCAACUAAUUUCUUAGUUCAGGAUGAUGCCGAGUUUUUUUUUUUUUUUUUUUUGGGUAUAUGGAUAAUUUACAUCUUAGAACAUUCAAACCAUCAAACAGAAGUUGUCCCUCAAGUCGUUGAAGUCCAGCUCUAGCGCAGUGCAGUGAAGACUACUAGUAGUAUAAUGCAGCAAGGAUGUUGUGGUAGACACACCUUCUUUAAGCAGGAUGUCCUUCUCUUUCAUUAUACUCUCCAUCUCCAGCAACUUUUCAUUCUUGUUGUCAAUCUCCCUUGCCAGAGCAAUGCAGAGUCUUCGCUGUUUUUUGAACACCUCCUCACCAAUGCAAUCCAUUUGAACGUUGAUCUGUUUUUGCUAACGCCAAUCAACCAAGAAACAUGAAGUUUAUAGAAAACACAAAAUUCUAAGCUGAAAAGAAAGGUGAUCAACGCGGACGAUUAACUAAAUUGUAGAACUCGUCAAUUAAGAUUAAAAACUAGAAGCAGAGGCCAACGAAGAAAAGCAGCAUUAGUUACCUUAGUUCUUCGACAUUCAGAAAUUGUUCGUUCAAUUGCCCGGACAUGGAGUUCUGAUUUUUUAUUUUUUUUUGGUUGGGUGUUAAUAUAAUAAUCCAACAAUUAAUCCAUUCAUAUUUGAUAAAUGAGGAGCAAGAUUCCUUUUUGAAGUGAUACAUGUUAAACUUUUCUUAAUACUGAAGUGGGGAUCCUAAGAUUAAUGGUGUUGAUGAGUGCUGUAAAACUUGUACCAGGUUCCCAAGGGCCAAGGCCAACUGCUGUACCUUUCUUAUUCCCACUCUCAUCUCAUGUCAUGACUCUUAACAAUUCAAAGUCUUUUUUUGAUGCUCUUUUUUAAAGCUUACUUGGCUUUUGGUGCUUUUUAUACUUGCAAUUCUUGCUGUCCUGAAGUAAAAUGUGUUAUAGCAAAUAAAGAUGUCUGAACCAACUCUCUCUAGAGGAGUUAGGCCAUCACAUUAAUUGUGGGGUGGGAGGUUAAGAGUUCAAAUCUUGUCUCUCGUCAAUGUGUCUCAAUAUGAGAUUUGUCCUAAAUUCAUACGGAUGUGUGAUGCACCCAUUUGAUCUGAUGAUGGUUCAGUCUCCGUCAGGUUUCUCCGGAAAAAAAAAAAAAAUGAAAGAUGUCUGCAAAAAAGGGGAAAAGGCAAGUCUGUUUCUGGCUUGGGCCAGCUGGGUUGGUGCACACGAUUGAGGCUCCUCUGGAAUUAAGACGAAACUUACCUUGAUCCUUUAGCUUCGUUUGGGCAUGGAUCGAAAAUUCCCAAUUUCCGUUCCUCCCGUUGCAACUUGCACGCCUAUCUUGGAAGAUGGACAGAGACUAUCUAAAGUUCAAAGGCGAAUCAAACUUCUCGACACUUAUCUUGAUACUCAUCUUGGUUGACGAAUAUGAAGUAUUUAAGAUUGAAAUAUGAAUCAACUCCUUGAUAGUAGAAUCGAAUUUCAUUUAAAAUUGGUUCACUAAUUGAUUACACCAAAUUUGAACAUAAAUUUUCAAAUUUGACUUGAUCUUAAUUUGAUUAGCACAAAAACGAAAUUUAUAUGUAAAAAAUUCAAACUAUUCAAUUUUAUCUUUAUAAAACUUGUUUGAAGUUCAUUUGAAAAGUAAAUGAGCCAAAUUUGACCAAAAUUUUGAACCCGUCAAAAUAAUUAAACUUGAAUUAAACUUGAGUACGAGUGUGCAACUUAUUUAAGCUCAUUUACAUCUCCACGAGUAUCUAAGAGCUAACUUAAUCCAUAGGAAUGUUGGUAGGUGCUUGUGAAAUCAUUAGUUCCACUCUUUUGGCUAAGAAUAUUAGUCAAGUGACAGGAACAUCAAUUAUUCAACUCUCAGGACCUCCCCUUCCCAUUUCAAGCAAAUUUACGUGUAGAAAGAGUCGAGGUUGGAUCCCAUUUCGAAAUCUUAUCAAACCAUUCCAUAAUGAGAGCAAUAAAGUACAUUGUUGAAAAUUGAAAUACAAGCUAUCCCUCCCCCCCCCCCCCCCCCAAAAAAAAGUGAUUACGUGCAGACAAUAAUUUACAUGCCAAAGCAAAACCAAGUGCAGGAAUCUAUCGACGUUCAAUCACAUCCUACGCUUGUAAGCCUCAGUAUUCUUCAACUCCUGAGCCAUGCACUGUAUCACCUCCUGCAAACUGGCCUUUCUUCCCUCCUUAAAGUUCCAAAGUUCUUGAACUACAUACCGCCCACUGGGGUUGUACUCGUUUAGUUCCAGCAAUGCAUUGACAACGGCGGCGUAUGGAUCCUCGCCCCAAUCAUGUCUCAGUCGUUUUAACUCCCCAUCAUCUUCAUCAAUAAUUUCCUGUAUCAUGUUUAAACAUUGAAUGACCCAGAUCACAUACAAGUCAAUUUUACAAGAAAACAACUUCCUCGUACCAAAGAGUAUUGCCAUUUUGAGGCAAGCGGAUCACUUGUAAUAAAAAGCGGUAUCAUAUUUUAGCACGAGAAAAGCAUUAUAUUGUUGAUGAAACUGUGACUUCCAUAGAGAAGACUAGCUACAGCAAGUACACAGAAUUAUUGUGGCGCUACCUUUGUAUUCACGAACAGACAAUAUUUUUUGAAAAGACUCUACCUGCCACUUUCCAUCUUUUAAGGUGUUCUUGAAUGGUUGCCAGCCUGGGUUGCUUACUUUUUCUUGCCACAAUGAGAUUGAUUCCACUGAUCUAACCUCCCAGUCUGAGCGAGAAAACUUCUUUGCACAAACGUCUUGAAAAGGUUUUUGGUCAACCUCUCCCAUCCUUUUAACUCCAAUUGUGGUUCUAUCCACUAAAUUUGACAAAACCUGUACAAUACGACCAGAACAAUCUUAUAUUUAGUAUUCUGAACCCAAAGGAUGGUAUUGGAAAGCUGUAAGAGUAAUAAAAUAAUUAGAUAAGCAAGGACAGCCAUGAAUGUGUUGAACUACUAAUUCUCACACUUGUCAAUUCUUUUCGUGCAUCCUGUAACUCAAGGUUACUUGAUCGCUCUUUAAGUAUUAGUGUCUGGUUUAGAGCUUCCAUAUCCUGAAGCUCAUCAUCCUUUUCAGCCAAUGUCUUUUUCAGUACGUCAAUCUGAGCUAUCAGCUGUGUCAAAAAAAUAGUGGGAUUCUAGUUUAAUGAAAAAUAAAAAAACUGGAAUUAAAAAAUAAAGUUAUAUCUGGGACCCAACAAAAAAAACUCUUCAACAAUGGCUGGUUUUAGUCUCAGUUAAAUCAUGUAAAUGCCAAGAGAACAAGUUUUGGCAUUGAAAUAAUUUGAAAGGCCCUGCAUAAGAUAUCAUGAGCUUGCAUGUAAACAGAGCUCCCAGUAACUAAAGCAAGCAGAAGAUUUUAUACAUUCCCAUCCUAGCAAUUCUGGGCUAAUAGGACAUAGCCAAACUAAGAGAAUGCCGAAUAAGAAGCAGUCAAAAGAUUGUAGACAGUUUCGAAAGACACGUGUUAUUAGCUACUUAAAGCUGCAUGUAACCAAUCUAUUGAAAUCAGAGAACAGUUAUGAAAACCAUUUCUUCACAAAUUAGAGUUGCCCAUAUGGACAAAGAAUAAAGGCUCCUCAUAGUGACAUGCAACUUUACAGUGAUCUUCCCUCACCUCCUUCCAACAACUUGCAAAUGGAUUUCAAGAGUAGGAUUUAAAAGUCACACAAGGAAUUAUUGCAAUGGAUUUCAUAAGUUACAAUAGUACAGUAUAAUUUAAAAGUCACAGAAGGAAAAAAGGAAUUAUACUACACAUAGAGACAUGUGCACAAAAAAGGAAAAAAAUCACACACACACACAAACACACUUUUUUGUAGGUGUGUAUGUCUGUGUGUUCAAGAUGCUUACUUGUUCCUUCUCAAUGCGUAAAGUUUUGUGUUCAAGCUCAGCUUGGCUCUUUUCUCUAUCCUUUAUUUGAUGAUUCAAUUCUUUCUGUAUAUGCACCAAGUCUCCCAUCAGCCUUUCAUUUCCUUGCUCUGCAAGAUGCAUCUUCCUUCUUUGAUGGUCCAAUUCACGCCUCAAGAUUUUAAUUUGUAGACUAAUCUGUUGCAUCUUCCUCAAUUCUGAAAAAGUGCACUACAUGAAAUGAUUAACUACUGAGCACUUCUGGAAGCUGUAUAAUAGAUUUUACCAACAGAAAGACAAUAUCAGCAGCCACAAUCUACCAAGUUUAAAAAUGCAUCUCUUCAUGAUUCUUUUUGUUAGGUUUCACUCUGCAGAACAUAUAUUUAUAGAAUAUAAUAACCUUGGAGCAGAUGAACUCUUGAAUUCAUUUUAACGCUUGGAGACUUCUGAAAUAAAAUGUUAAGAAAUCAGUUGUUUGGAUAAAAUGCAGUUCAGAUCAUACAGAAACUUGUCAAAACUUUUGCAACAGUUUGUCAAUGAAAUUCUGAGAAUGUUACUUUGUUAAAAUGAUGAACUUGCAGUGAAUCUCUCAAAUCAAGGAAAAACGUAAUAUGCAGAGUUAUUAUGUAAAUUUACUGCUAUCUAUAGUGAUAUCCAGGAGAUUGCUAUAAGCUAUUCAGUUAUCCUGUUUGUCAAAGAAGCACAAAAGUACCAACACAUCUCCUAUAGUCCAUGUUAGCUGUGGGGAACAGUACUGUUUGGCUUAAGUGAAAGAUUCAUUGCUUCUUCAUGCAUAAAUUUUUAAGCUUUCACAAAGCAUAAACCUUUUAGCCUUCAAGUACUGACCUCCAUCACCCACACCUUUUUUACAAGAUAUGGAGAACUGUAAAAUAUGGAGGUGUAUGAAAUCUACCAUGCUUCUUGCAAGACAUUACAAAAUUGAUGAUUAGGUGUUUAGCUUUGCUAUUGUAUUGCUGGAACUUUAUAUCCUUCUCUUGUUGUUAGUCUAGACUAAAACAUACUGAUGAUUUUUUUUUUAUAUAUCAAUCAUUGUACCUGCAGCUAAUUUUUCCCACUUCCACAUCGUUGAAAUACACAGAGUUGACAGCCUUAAGGGCCUUCUGACAAUAUGAUCUGUGACAAUAGUAAUUUAAUUGGGCUGACUUUCUUCCAGCUAAGUCAUAGUAACGCCUUCUCUCAAGAUAAUGUGGCCUCAGCCAAAAAAAAAGGACAAAGUAAAACAUGUUGUGUGCAUUUGUGUGAAGAUAACAACAUUUCCAUUCCCUCACCAAAUUGGUUUAAAUAUUUGAGUUUAGAAAAAUACUCUUUAUAGAUUUUUCCUCUGCCGGAAAUAUACAAGAGGUGCUAUCUGUUCCAGGCUUUCACCAUCCUUGCCACUAAAGCUGGAAGAAGUGCUGCAGUUUCCUGAAAAAAAAAAAACAGCAGAAAAGCAUUUGAAUUUAUGCUCUAAGAUACAAGGGGCACCAUUCAAAAUGUCAACAUGGUAUAGUCACACUGGGAAGGAAAAGUAACUAACUUAAGAUAGCUAGAAGGUUCUUAAGCUCCAGUCAGAUCUAUGAGUCUGAAUAAGGGGUGGCUUAUGAAUAGGCUGAGCCUUGCUUCACGGAUUUUGGAAAUAUAUAUAGGUAGACUGUAAUAGAAGUGAACUUGCAAUUGUAAAUUACUGUUUUUUUUCUAUUUAUGGAAAAAGAGGAAAUUCCAGCCCAAGAUGCUGGAGCAGGACAUGCUCCAAAAACAGAUCUCUUACGUUGUUCUUCCUCCAGAAAAGCCGUGUAGCGGCUCUCUUUCAAGGCCUGCUUAAGUUGCUUUACUUCCAUAUCUGACAAACCCUUCUGAUCAAUAUCCUGCCCAUCAUCAUCGUCAUUGCAGUUAAUAACAUUCGCCUCAGUAGACAAACUUCGACCGCAACCUACUGUAACAGGGCGGGAUCUAGAAACAUGACUCUUGUGGUGUAAUUCCUCAAUUAGAGCCGUUUGACGACUCUCUUCCAUGGCUAACAUAAGUUGCAUUUUUUCCAAAGAUAACAAUUCAUCUUCAAGAGUAUCACAUUCACUUUCAUCAUCAUUCUCAUCAUCAGUAGCAUGCAUGUACCCACACAAACUUCUAUUGUAGAAAGCAUUGAGAGCUGCUGCCUUUCUCUUUUUCAUUGUUGCCCUUUCGCUUUUCCCAUCAUUUAGAUGCUUCUUCAAUUCCAAUGUCACAUCUGGAGGAGAUCCAGGACAAGCUCCCACUUGUCCAGCAAUGUGAGCAAUGUGCUGUUUCAAUCUAGUUAUUCCCCCAUGUAUAAUCUUCCCACAGUAACGGCAUUGGACAAUUUUCUUAUCCCCCCCCUGGCUCAGCGUGCUCCCAACCAAUAUCUCUUUUUGGUGCCAUUCUGAGAAUUUGCAAGAAAUUGAGAUUAAUAAAAGUCACACUUGUAUACAUUAUUCUAAACUUAGGUUUCUUUUUUUUGAACACGGGAAUUGGCAAUUUGGCAUCAUUUGCUCAAACUUACCAUGCUCUCCAUGUAGUUAAUAUCUUGGUGCACUGAAGUAGAGCUGAAAACUUGGAUGGGACUCUAGCACUCUGGUAUUGAAGAAUCAAGAGAUACUUGGUAUCCGCAGUUUUACUUUUACCAAGCAGAGCCAAGAUCUUGUCAUGAAGCCUAUAACUUCCAAACGGACAAGUGAAACAGCUAUAUAUCAUUACAGACCCUGAUACAUAUUAUAAUAACACAAGUUGUUUCUUCUCCAUAGAAUUGCAGGUACGUAAGACAACUUAGAAUCUAGAAAGGUAUAUGAUGCUUUUUUCUCACUGACCUCAGUAGGUCUAAUUUCAUAUCCAAUCAAAGAUAUUUUAACAACAUUUGCUCAUAACUUCUAAAGAAUAAUACGACCCUGAAAUCUGUUAUUCACAUAUUCAAAGUGGAAAAGUAGGAAUAGCCUCUAAAAGUAUACCAAUCCAUCCAAAAUUAUGUGUUCAUAAACCUCUUAGACAAAUAUGUAAUACUGCAUGAUUCUGAACCAUCAUUGGUUUCAUGCAUCAGAUGAGUUCAGUAAGCUAAAACCAGAACAAAGCUUUAGACAUUAAUCAACAUGCUAACAAGCCCUGUACUUGUCCCACAUUUUCCCUACUUAAGAAGACUUAAUAUGAAAGCAUAAAACUAGAAUUAACCGAUUAUUCUCAACCAGAACUGCACAGCGACCAUAGCUCAGAGCUACUUUGUGAAAUCGCAACUUCCAUGUAAUUUAACAUAAUACUGCUACAUAAUUGCCAAGAAGCUGUACCUUUGUGCGGAGCUUAUAUAUUAUAUCGUGCUGAACUUAGUUUAAAAACGAGCUUGGAGCAAAUGUAAGAAGAAAAACAGAAAAAAUGCGGAGGAGCUUCUGAAAAUGAUGCUGAGCUGAGGUACCAACCUCGAAAGAGAAGUCGAAACUUGACCAGCAUUAGUAAAGUUGCUUUACUUGCGAAGUUCUCGGUGGCAGAACCGAUGGUUUACGAAAAGCGUUCUCGUCCGAGUCACGAUCCAUAUGUUCAUGACGGCCGAUACGCGGCGUUUUUGUAAUUCCGUGUGCAUGCCGAAAAGUGACGGGUGAAGCCUCGAAAAUUUUGGAAUCUGGCAGCCCAUUUACAUGUUAGACUCCUUCCUCCAGGUCCAAAAUUGCUGACCCGAUGAUCUCAAAUUGGGCAAGGAGUAACGGACCAACAGCAAGGAAGGAAGGUCUAGAGUCAAAUGGGAUUUGGGCCCCGUUAGAUUUUGAGACCCACCAGUUAAGCUGGAGGGCAUUUAGAGGAUGGGCAGGAAUCAUCAGAAUCAAACCGUUGUGAUUUAUAUUGGCAGUGGCCUAAAAAUGAAUUUUGUAGAAGUGUAUGGCUUUGAAUUUUGAUUUACUGCUCGUGAACAAACUUAAAAAGAAAUGUAUUUUUGUUUGGUUAGUUGAUGCUCACAAUGUAUCCAAUACUUAGUAGUACAUUGUUUGGAACAAUUAAAACUGAUAAUUUUUCCUCCCAAAAAACCAGAAGAAUUUAGCAUUAAAAUCCUUCUCUUUUUUGGCCUCGAGGACAUUAAGCCACUUUGAUUGUGGUGGCUUUUACAGGUUUGGCUGACGCUUGGGUAAGGUUUCAUCGGAGGUUAAUCGUCAUAUGUUACGUUUCAAGUGGCUCAAGAUAAAUUGUUAAUAUGAUGGCCAAAGUUUACUUGUAUUCUAGAAGCUAUAUGGUGUAUCCCCAGCAAGAAGUAAAAUAUAUGCACCCACUCUCUACGAAUUGCCAGGAAUGACAAGAGUUUUAAUGCUGAAACACCAAUUUCAUAUAAACAGAGACAUGUACUUCCAUGACCAAGAGGUUGGUUCUUCUACCUUAUAAAUUAUACUAGUAAUGGACAUCCUUUUUGAAUGCUCAGACAGCCGGCAGCAGCAGUUCUGCACCUCUAAGAAAAGCCAUUCGCAAAGUCCAAAUGGAUCAGCGGAAAAUUACUUUAAAAGAAGACAUUACUGGAUCCUGUUCUCAGCUCCUACAUAAUCAUGUGGCAUUUGGUAUUCAUGUUGACACUCGCCUCCGCCGUUUCGCGGAGUUGAGAGUCUUCAACAGUUGAGCUAAGCAUUGGAUCACCUCUUUUAGACUAGCUUUUCUGCCCUCCUUGAAGUUCCAAAGCUCUGAAACUGCAUACCGCCCGCUUGGAUUGUACUCGUUCAGUUCUAACAAAGCAUUUGCGACUGCAUUGUAUACACCCUCACCCCACUGGCUUCUCAAUUCUUUCAACUUGCUGUCUUGUUCAUCAAUCACUUCCUGCAUCGCCAAGACAUAAACUUGCAAUGGCGCCUUCCACAUUCGCAGUAAGAUAAAGGUAAUGGAGACACUAGAAGAAUCAAAUAUGUAUUUGUUAUUGCUCGUUAGCAUGCUCUCUCUCCCGCAUAAGAGUCAGUCACAGAAACAAAUUUUUGGUUGCAUUCCAAUCCAAGAAGCAGUCUCAUGACUUUUCCACCCUAAUCAAAGUCUAGUAUCCAAACUUGGGUAAUAACUUGACCAGGAAAGAAGAAAUUUAAGAAGUACAUAAUAUGUUCUCAGCAGGGUCUAAAGAAAUUAGAGGCAGAAUUCAUUUCUUGAACUCAAAAUGAGUCCACUAGCAAUGCUUUUGACUAUAUCCUAACUCUCAACCCACUAUGAACACACACUAUUACCAACAAUAAUAGGCCAAAUCUCAAAUAAUUUAGACAGAAAAAUAAAAUAGUGUUAAAGCAAGUAUAGUUUCAUCCAUACAACAAUUUCUUUGAUAUUGCCUUCGCUCUCCCCAUAUGGACAGUCGCUUACCAUUCAAGCAAUAAUAUAGCAUACCAAUUUCAACUAAUCCAAGACAGAAGAAUACGAUUGUGUUAACAUCAACUACAGCUUGAUUGAUAUAUGUCCAGCAUGUACAGGCUUAUCAUCUAGCAGCAAUAAAGGAGACUGGAUCAAAGUCGUGCUCAUCAGCAAAUUGGUGUGGGAGAGAAAGUCAGAAGGUCAGCAAGAGUUUGUGACGAAAAGGAAACAGACCUGGCAUUUUCCAUUUUUAGCAUCUUCUUAAAAGGCUGCCACUUUGGAUCAUUAACCUUUGCUUGCCACACUGAGGUGAGUUCCAGUGACUUCACCAUCCAUUCGUCCCAGAGAAUUUACGUAAGCAAGCAACUUUGAAUGGAUCAACAUCAAUUUCUCCCAUCCUUUUAACCCCAAUACUUUGUCCAUCUAGAAGAGUAGGCAAAACCUGUAUGACCAGUGCCAGAUGUGUCUGUCUAAACCUCAAAUUACACAAGGAAUCCAGAGAAAAGAUUCAACUAAGGAACUUUUAUCAACUUUAAUGUUGUCUAACUAAAUCUUCUGAUUAAAAAGACAUCAAAUUCUUACACUAAUUAAUUCCUUGCGAGCGUCCUGUAGCUCUUCAUUACUUAUGUGCUCCCUCACAAUAAGUGCUUGGUUCAGAGCUUCCAUGUCUUGAACUUCAUCAAUUUUUUCAGCCAAUUUGCUGCUUAGUUCUUCGAUUUCUUGAUUUUUCAACUGCAACAAUCGAGCUAAAAUACCAGUAAUCGAUGUACAAUCAUGUCUUAAAAAAACUUAGCCACUAAGAUGACAGGUUUCAAGUAAGAAUUGGCUUUAUGUAUGUAGGCAUCACAAUGUUAACCUACUCAUGCAAUAGCAAACAUAAAAAGCAGCAGAAGUUUUUCAAGCAUUCAAGAAAUGCUAACAAUAAUAAAAUAAGGAAUGAAGUUUAAAUAUAAAGAUUAGAAUAAAGAACCAAAAUGUGUUAGCAUUCCAAUUGGACAUACAAGUUUGAACAUCAUAUCUAAGAUAAAGUAUAAGAGCUCAAGAGUUCAGAAAGGGCUGUAUCAUGAAGGCUUCUGCCUCUUAAAAUGGCCAACUUAAAUGUUGCAAGAUAAUGAUGGAAAGAAUGCUUACAACGUCACAGUAACAAACAACUUGUAGUGCAUUUGUUACCCAACAGGAAUGUAAUAAAACUGAGUGUCUACUCAAGCCUCAAAUGACAUCAUUCUGUAUAUUUCAGAUCAUUUACAACCAAUGAUGAUCAAAACCUGAUUAGUUCUAUUCCUCAUUUCUUUAUGCGUUAAGUUUGUUAUACUGCCCGGGACCCCAAUCUCUCAAGGAUAAGGCCAAAAAAGACAAGAAAGAUAUCUGGUAGAAGAAUUGAACAUGGAGACCAUGCAACCGGUUUGUCUACCACAUUUUAAUAGUUAGUUUCUCACUUUCUCUGUUUCCUUUAUGUGACACUAUGCUACCUAUUUGCCUGACCUCCAUUCCCGCACGAGAUGCUCAUUAGACACAAACUAUGAACAGAAUCUGAAACUGAACAGCUGUACCUUGUCCUUCUCCACAAGUAAAUUUAUGGGUUCAAGGUCACCUUGGCUCUGUUUUUUGUCCUGCUUUGCUAGAGUUGCUAGUUCUUCCUGCAUGCUUGCCAAUUCUUGCCUCAGACUUGUGUUUUGCAUCCCAAAAUUUCUCAGUUGCAAGUUCAAGCUGCACCUCAUCUUUGCCAUUUCUGAUUCAUUCAGAUGCAACUUCCUCAUCACUACAAAGUACAUAAGAACAUUGUAGGGAGUGUCGUUACAAAGUACACCAACUAACAUUGCAAGACGCCGUUUAGACAUGUAUACAGAUCAAGUCAACUGUCACUUCUCUGUUUUUCAUCAAUGACAAAGGUGAGGAUGUGGGAACAGAACUAAGAAACACAAAAUAUGCUUUAAGAUGAUCAACAUGAGCUAGAACAUGUUUCCAGUACUGUGCAGUCCCAAAAAGAAUUAACUGCUGGCUAUAAAAAAGGACAUGAUACUGAAUGAUUUUAGUGCGAAACUACAUGAAUCAAAUUUACAAAUAGCAAAGAAAUCUCAGUAGUGAAGUUGAGUAACAAUGUAUCACAUCAAAGACUAGUUGCCAAAUAAGAGGUUGGAUAGAGAGUCAGGCAGCUUUUUGCAUUUCUGAAUACUUUUAACUUUUCUUUUCUUUUUUGUCAAACUCCAAAUACUAGUUUUACACAUAGCAGAGUUUACACACAAGUUUCUACGACAGAAACAACACAGGAAAAUAGUUUCUUGAUAGAAAGGAUCCACACAUUGCAUUCAUAGAAAAAGAAAAAACAGAGGUCUGCAGCAAAAAACAGUUGCUCCUCUGGAUUCUAUAAAUUAAGCUGAGAUGCUCAAUAGUCUAUUAGCAAGCUCCACUAGCCUUCUGUAUACCCUAAUAACAAAGACAAUUCUGCAAAAUUAUCUUGUUCUAAUCAUUCAAUAGCUUCCAGAUGCAUUUUACAUGGGCCAGUGUAAAUCUGAUUUAAUUCAUUUCCUCCAAAACUCUUUUGCUGCAUUUGCUCGACAAAUUAUGUAUUUUAUGAAAACAAAAAUAUCAAUUAGCAAUCUUGACGGCUUUGUUUGAAAUCCUGAACUACAACAACAUAUAUUUCGGAUACUUAGAAUACGAGGGCAGUUCACAAUAUUAUUUACCAACCUAAAGCAAUUAUCUAGUCCUGUAAGUGAAUUAAUAGUAUGAUAUCAGUCAAAAAUGGACGGACAAUAUCUAAAAUGUCAACCGAGAUAGCAAUUUUUAGUUGUCAACUGAGAAUGCGCGUAAUUAAGAUACCAGUCAAAAAAGGUGGUAUUAACUAUAGGUCAUGAUACCAGUUACAAAGGUGAUACGAAGCGUAAAGCCAUAAACACAAAGAAAAGGGCAGCCCUUGGCAUUAGCAAGCAUAAGACGAACCCAAAGACUCUUAUAAACAAUAGUCGAUUCAUCAAUGUCUCCACAAACAUUUCAAAAAUCCCAUUUAACAUAAUAGAAAAAAGAUAUCUCGACAGCAGCCAGUAUAUUCACUGGAGAAAGGGGGGGGGUAUUAUUUAGUUACCUUGACCAUAAGAUUGCUGAAGCUUUUGUUUUUGGGCAACGACCCUGGAGAGAGCAGCUGAAGCCUCGUCAUUCUGGCGCCGAAUUUCAAGCAACAUUUGGUUCUUGCAUCAACUUCUCGGGCCAGGCUCACUGCAAAACGUCGCGCGUUCUUGAGUUCUUCAACAAUCAUGGGAUUACCAGUAACACCAGUACCAUUGCCUUUCUCCAUUUGAUUUUCUCUCUCUUUGUUCUUUUUCAGCCAAUUCCCCAGCGUCCCUUAUGCUUUCUCCCCUUCGCCACAAAAUCCCAAGAUGUGAAAACUAAUCGAUGUACGGGACAUUUAGCAGCUGAAAUGAACUUUCAAGAAAUUCAUCAUGGGCUCCCGUCCUUCCUGAAUCCUUCCCGGAUGACAGGGUGAGGGUUGGUAUAAGCUACGUUACAUUAUUACUAGUGUGAAUAUUCGUGCUACGCACGGUGCUGACAUUAUUGAAAAAAAUAAAAUGAUGAACAAAUAAAGAUGAAAAAAUUGAACCAACCAAAUUUAAAUGUAAUAUCUGUUUAACAAUAGUUUGAAAUAUAAUAGAAUGUGUAUAUCGUUCAAGAACUGUCUUUUUUUGGAAGAUGGAUCCUGAAAAAAAAAUUAAAAUUUAUAUUAAAAAAGUAAAUGAUAUAUUUCUACAAAUGAAUGUUGUUAAAAUGAAAUACUUACAAAUACUAAACAUUCGAUUUGAUAAGCAUUCGAUUUGAUAAUCUUUCUUGAAGGUGCGAACACUCUUCACACCAAUCCACUUUUAGUAUGAAAGUCAAAAUUGAUGAUUUAAUUAACUAUGUUGAAUUUUGUGGAGUGCAUACUACAAAUGAAAAUGCACGAUCUUUGACAAUAUUAAAAACUGCAUAUUUACUAUGAUCAUGCAAAAGUAUUGGUGAUGCGGAUGGCUGUCGAACUUGAAGAGAGGCAAUAUUUUCAUUUCUUUCAUCUAGAAAAAAAUAUAUUAAAUAAAAAAUAAAUAGUUUUUGUAUUUAUUUUAUGUGUAGUAAGUGAUACAUUGUAUGAGAAUUGUUAACAAAAAAAUACAAUAGUUAAUAUAGAAGUAGCAUCAAUAGAAUUUAAUACAAUUGUGUUGUAAUCAAAUGAAAAUUACGCACCAAUAGAAUUGUUAUUAGCACCCAUAGUUAAUGAAGUAAUCCCUAUAUAAAUAUAUUUUGGUACAUGUAGACCCCCCAAACCCCGCAAAAUCAACCACCACUUAUUGAAAACAAACCAAUAAAUGCACUAAAAUGCCUCCCAUCUAUACCUCAAAUUGCACUUUAACCACGAAUUUUGUGCGAAAUUAUCCCUCUAAUUGCUUUUGUCCUUUUCGAUUUUUUCACAUGUCGCUAAUUGUUUCAUUCCCUCUGCUAUCGUAACACCUUUUUUAUGUGAUAAAUGUGUAAUAAAAAAUAAUUAAAAAAACUUCAAUAAUACAAACAAAAGAAAUUUUUAUAAUAUACAAUUUAUGUUAGAAAUAGUAAAACCCUCAAUCAUGAACCUAUACCAUCCGCAAUUAUAUAAGAAAGCAAUACCUUAUGUUAGAAAUGUGAUUGUGAUUUUGUGUUUAUACUUUAUCCCACUAUUGAGUAUCUUUGCUUUACAGUGUAACAAUAAGCAAACAACCGUUUAUAGGAUUUUGUAAAAAAUUUUCAAAAAUAAUAGAUGAUCAGAAAAUCAAUGCAAUAUCAUUCAUGACAAAAAGCAAAGCAAAAGCAAAACAUACUUAAAAGGCAGAGGGACCGACCUGGAAAAUUAAGCUGGCAAGAAUAUACUUCCAAUUCUCCGCAAGAAGGUUGAUUUCUGCUGAAGUCUCUGCACAUAAUAUCUUUCACUACUGCUCAUAAAAGAAACAAAAUUAAUACAUUUACAAUAUGAAUAGAGAACCAAAAAUAAAUAAGAAACUGAGAGAGAGUGGGAGUGAGAUAGUGGGAUAGUGGGAAUAGAGAAUUUGUAGGAGUGAUAUAGUAAGAUGAGUUAAGAUAGUGGGAUAGUGGGAGUGAGAUAGUGGGAAUAUUGAUGGGUGAUAAGGUGGGUUAUAACUUACUACAUUUUAUGUAUUAAAAUAAAUACAAAAAUCUAGAAAAAAGAAUGAGAAGUUUAGAAGUCAUUGAGAGGGUUUUUGCUAAAAAUUCCUUCCUGAAUACAUAUAGAUAUAGAUAGAUUUAUUCAUUUAUUUAGUUAAGAAAACAAUUACAAAAUCUUUUCAAGCCAUGACGGUUUUUUAUUAGCAUAUAAGACUCUGUAGUUUCAACUUGUAACCGGGAAUUUUAAAAUACUAGGAAACAUGCACAUGCUGUCAAAAAGACGAAUCUGUACUGCAAAUUGACGUAGCACGCGUACGCAAAUUUUUGCCAAGAGUCCAUCAAAAGCGAACAGACCGCAGUCGUUCGGAGGUCCAGUGACAUGGAAAAUAACUUAAAUUGCCACAUCAUCAAUGGUGGCCCCCUACAUUCACUCGUGUCACCUCCCACCACCUGUAUGUAUUCAUGUGGCAGUUUGGCAAAUGUCGAACCUCUUUUAAGCCUCUAACAAACCAAGUGGCUUAGUUUGGGAGUUUAGGAUAGAAAAGAAAAGAAGGGAAGCUUAAGUUAUGAAAGAAGAGAAGAGAAGGGAAGAGAUUGUUAUGUUGUUUGGGAGCACUUGGGAUCCUCGGUGACAUGUUUUCUAUUCCAACUCAAUGCCACCAAUAGUGUUGCGCCAAGUGUUUUGUUAUUAAUUACACUUUAAUUUUUUAAUAAUUCAACUUGGUUUGAUUUAACACAAAUAUAAAUAAUAACAAGACACUUGGCGCAAUACUAUUGGUGGCAUUGGGUUGGCAUAGAAAACAUGUCACCGAGGAUCCCAAGUGGUUUGGGAGUUUUAAGAAUUAGUGGAAUGAUUUUGGACAUAGAAAUCAUUAAAUAUUUGUUCAAAACCUUUUUAAGGACAAAAUAGGCAUUUUAAAAAAAAUAUCAAGCUUUCUCCAAACUUUCUUCCCAUUUCUUUCCGAUUUGGGAGGAAGCUUUUUUUUAACUAUUCAUCUUUCCAUUUCUUUUCUUUUCUUUCCAACUUGAAACUAACAAAUGAAGCAAAAGUAAACUUUCUCUUCUUUUCCUUUCUUUUCUAUCCAAAUCUUUCACUCCCAAACGAAACUGAACACUUCGUGCCUUCGUCUUAAAUCAGACUGUUCAAUGUUUUGAACCCGUCUCAUCUGCUUCUUGUUUUCAACGCGUCGCAUCUCGUUCCCAGUUUCUGAAAUGUAAUUCUCUUUUUAACUCUGCACAUUUUGGAUUCUUCGCAAUUUACUUCAAUGGCUGUCAAUUUCAAGGUAUUGAUUCCCAGACAUCUCGCAAGAUCAUUGGCGAAAAGUAGGACUUUCCCAAUCCCUUGUAAUUUGCAACAACACCCACAUCCAUCCCAGCAACUAUUUUGAAUGUGGUCCUUGAAUUGCUCUUCAUAAAUCAUCUUACACGAUAAAACAAGAAGUAACAGAUGAUGAGCAGACUGCACGCAACCGUGCAUGAAAGUUCAAUUAUUUGGUCAUUAGAAGUUGGGUUUUACAUGGUCAAGAAGACUGAAUAAAUUAAGGCACAACAGUUUCCCAAUUGUCAGACAAAUCACAACUUUCAAUCGGUCGGGUCUAUCUCUGCAUUUUUUCCAUGUGCAGCUUCCAUUUCUUCAGCAGAAACGCAGCUCCUUCCUUCAAAGUAGCUUUCCUACCUUCAGCGUAGUUCCACAAUUCCGAAGUAAUAUACCUCCCACUUGCGUUGUACUCAUUUAUCUCCAUGAAAGCUGUUGUCACUGCUUUGUAAACUUCAUGGCCGUACUUUUCUUUCAGGUCGUUCAGCUUUUCAUCAUCUUCAUCUAUUACUUCCUACACCAGUAAUCAGCAUUAGAAUAUCGCAACCAUUAGGAAGAAAAAGUGAAGCAAGUACAUUAAAUUUGUUUCAUGAACGAAAAGUCAAUUAAAAGAACAAGUGCAUGUAAUAAGCUUGAAGAUGCAUCAACAGUUAUCCGAGCAGAAGUUGUCAGCAUCAUAUGCCUUUUCUUUUCCCUCUUUCAGAGACUGUACUAACAAAUGACUGUUUCUUUAGAUAAAUCUACACUGUAAAAAAGGUUACUAUUAUCAAAACAACGUAGAUAUGAUUCAGUUGAGAAUGGUGUACUAAGAGAAAAUUCAGAUCUUCAACAAGACCUUUGCACCAUGCAUGAGGAAUUCCAUCAUCUGGACUAAGCUAAAGAAUAUUUCCCAGUUUGCAGUGUCAUUUUGGUUUGGAUCCGGUAAGGUCAAGGCACGUAUAAGUAAAAGCUGAAAAAUAGCAACUACAACUACCACCCUUCCACUGAUGAAGCAUCCCAACCGCAUACAAAUUCUCUGGUGGGAUGUCUACCAUGGAUUUUUUUUUUUUUUUUUUUUUUGGUAAUAAAAAAGUUUGGAUGAUUUUGGCUCUGGUUACCACCAGGACAAUAGGAAGCUACACGGGUACAAAAGAAAAUAAGAAAGCAAUAAAAUAAGUACAAAAGAAAUGCAUAUUUGAUAAAUUGCGUACCUCAUGUUUCCCAUUAACAAGUAUGACUUUUGUAGGAUGCCAUUCAGGAUCUUUAAGGUACUCAUCCCACAAUGAGCACAGUUCAGAAGCCCUUUCCUCGGCAUCUGCUUCAUGUUUAUAUUUUAGCUUCAUGGCUUCAUAAAAUGGUUUAUUGUCGAGUUCACCCAUUCUCUUUAUACCAAUAUAUGCUGAAUUAGGAUAUUCUUUCAAGCCCUGAAACGCAUCUAAAUAAUCAGACUGCAAAGCCUCGGAUCUGAUCAAUAAACCAACCAAACUCUCUACAAUAAUGUAGAAUCAAAUUCCAGGCACCACCAACAGAAGUAGUCAAAAUCAUCAGCCUUAACAUGUAUACAGAGCUGAAAUGAUUAACAUUCUACAGUCUAUAACCACAGCCUCCCAUCCACAGCAAAACGAAAGAAAAGAAAUGCCACGGAAAAUCCAAAAAAAAAAAAGGGAGAAGACAAAAAUUGCUGAGUUCACCUUUACUCUUAUGACAGAUAGAGAGAAGAAUGUAAGAGCCAAAAGUUUAUAAUUUAAAAACUCACUAGUCACCAAGUGUCUUGCAUCAGUUAUAUCAGACAGCAAAAAUUACCAACCACCUUAUUUCACAUGCAUAAAGACUAAUUUCCUUUUUCGUUGUCUGUUUUUAGGGGGGAAAGUUAUUUCACAUCAUUCUCAAGUUUCCAUUAUCUCUGUUGCUAACCUGAAAGAGAUCCCUAUUAUAGAUGCCCCCCGAAUAAUUGAAUCUAGAAUAGUAAUCAGAAUAAUAAGACAUCAAAAUGACAAAGAAUUACAUUAAUCAAUUCUUUUCGAGCAUCCUGCAGCUCUUCAUUGCUCUUCCGUUCCUUAACUAUCAGCGUCUGAUUCAACCUGUCAAAAUCCUCAAGUUCUCCUUCCUUUUCUCUCAACAACUUGUUCAGCGAGUCAGCCUUUUGCAAGACUUCCAGAUCACCUUCGUCUCCCAUGUGCUUCAUAACAUUUAUUGUACCUUUCAAACGUUCAAUUUCUAGCUGCAACGCUUGUUUUGUAUCCAGAUCUUUUUCCAGUUGAAUAAUUCUAUUGAGCAAUUCUUCCUUUUGCUUCUGAAAAAACAAAAACUCACUCAUAUGAUCUCUUAUUAAUUGUUGAACAUUUUAGAAUAAAUCAAUUCUAAUUAGCAAGAAAAGAGAUACUGAAAAUGAUUUAAAAGUAUACCCUCUGUUCUUCAGCCAAUUUCAAUACUUUGGCAUCAACUUUCCUUUGCUCCUCAGAUGCAGCAUCAAUUAAACUAUUUUGGGCCGCAUUCUGGAGAGAAGAAGAUGAGCAUUCUUCAAUGAUUUAUCGUAGUAACUACUGAAAAUCAGCACAAAAAGUUGUAUAUCUUGACUCCGAUCAAUCAGCGAAUAAUAAACUGCUUCCAACAAAUUCCAUUAAUAUGAUAAAAAAGAAUAGGGUUAAAAACAAAAAAGUCUCCUAUAGUAUGCCUAAUACACAGAAAAGCCCCCCCGGUGGUUUCAAAAAAUACAAAAUGAUACCUCAUGUUUUGAAUUAAAUUGUAAACUAACAUAAUUCGUUAAACUUAACGGAAUCCGGUAAAUUAAACGAAAAACUUAACAGAAUCCGGUAAAUUUAACGGUAAACUUAACGGAAUCCGGUAAGUUUAACGGCCGAGACCAUCAUUAUCGUUAAGUUUAACGAAUUCUGUUAGUUUACAAUUUAAUUCAAAACAUAAGGCGUCGUUUUGUAUGUUUUGAAACCAUAGGGGGCUUUUUUGUAUUUAUCCCAAAAGAAUAAGGAAGACAUCUUAACUGAUGCUGUUCAAGACUCAACAGAACAAAAAGAAGGCAAAUUGCGAAGGAGUGGGAAGGGAAGGAAUGGGCAUUGCAGUCCUUCAGUCGUUUUAUUUGGGGGAACAGCAAGGGCCAAAAGAAAGUUCAGCUUGUGUGCCAUUCCUUAGUUCAACUAUUUUCUAUUUUCAUUUGUUAUUUCCUAAAACAGAGAUUGAAGAUGUUAUAACAGUGUCUCAGCUAUAGAACAUUAACUUAUAUUAUUUUCUUAUAAUUUCACCAAGUUUGUCUCUAAUCAUUAAAUGCGAAUUCAUGCCAGCAUUACCAUCUUAAGGCAUAUCAAGUAAAGGAAUUGCCCGCCAUGACUGUCCCUGCUCUGCCACUAAAUUCUGCUCCUAUACAAUCAUCAACCCCCUCUUGACCAUAAAGGCUAUAAACUAUUUCCCUCCAUGAGCACAAAAAGUAUCAUGCAAAUAAAGAUAAAGGUUAGUGGAAGAGUCUGUCAAGUAGGAAUGCAAACUAAGUUCAUAGAUACCAAUUGCUGGGAUAUUUGAACUAAUUUCGCUUCCUAGAUACCAAUUAGUGCUGUAUAUGAACUAGCAUAUUGUGUCAUGGAAUUAUUCUAAGCCCGUAUAUUAACUCUUAUCACCUGUUAUGAUGGCACUACUCACAUGAAGUGUAACCUGGUUUCGAAUGUGACAAGGAAAGGAAUUGAUUGCAUAUUGAGGUCUUGAAACAUGUUAUGUAAAGGAAAAAGAGAAGAAGAGAACUAAAGCAAUUAUGUUCACCUCUUCUAGCUCUUCUAACAGCUUUUUCCUAUCACUUUCAUUUUGAGCUUCUCGUUGCUCCAGUUGUUUACCCCGGAGUUCAAGUUCCUUUUUCUGGUUUUCCAGUUGUGACUUCAUCUUUUCAUGGUCACUGAGAAUCUUUUGGAAAUGCUCCCGAGCAGUAGAUUGAAGCUUCUUUAAUUCUAGAGAAAACAAAAAAGGAUUUAACAAUUUUAAAGCCUAUAAAACUCUUCUCUGUCAAAGAAGUGCAACUGUGAUACCUUCAUUGUAGGCUUGAUGAAGCUUAUUCUUUUCUUCAAUUAAAAUGCCUAGAGAACUCUCAGUCUCCUGGAACUUGCUUUCCAUCUCUUUUACUUGCAUGUUCUUCACCUCAAUAACAUUUGUCAGAUUAUUCACCAGCUUACUUGUCUUCCUAACUUCCUCUUCAAUGAUAUCUGAGAUGGUUCUAAUGUCUCCAAUCUUACGAAGGUUCUCUCCAAUGAUGCCAUCAGACUUGUAGUCAUCCACACGAGCAACCCAAGCAUAAAGAUCAGACUUUAGAGUAUUAUUAGCCAUCCAAUCUCUCUUUCCAUGACGAUCAGCCUCGUAUGCUUUCUCAAAUGACAUGGCAUUUUUAAAUCCAAACCAAUCUUUGGUAAAUUCCACAAGAGCAGUGCCUGAAUGGCCCUGGUAAUUCCACAAAGGGCGCACUCUAGUAGGAUUGAAACCCCUGCUUGUCAACUCAUCCCUAAGAUUGGAACCACUUUUACCCACAUAGCGCCCAUCCUUGAAGUCAGUAGCAAGAUUAACAACAAUGCCAAUCCAGGGCCACACAAACAUCUCAUCACGAUCAUGAUCUGCUAGGGGAUCCACCUCGACUGUAGCCUGUGAUGGACCAGCAGUGACCGACAUAUCCUUCUCCAAGUAUUUUGCCAACGCAAGAUGAUUUGCUUUGUCUCGUGCACUUCGCUUCUUUGAAGUAGAACUCCCAACCCCACUCGCGUGUUGCAAUAUGUCCUUGUAAAGGAAAUCUGCUUUUCUUUUCUUUGGGCAGUAAGGGCAAGUGAAAGCCCCAUCAGAUACCUUAACUUCCUUUUUUCCACUCUUUAAUGCUUGAUAUGAUUUGUCUUCAUACUCUUCAAUUUCAGAUUCACUUAUAUCAGUAUCUUCUCCUGAACUAUGGUCUACCGAGCCUCCCAUCACAUUCAAAGAUACAAAAAUGAACCUGGUGCAUGAAAUGUAGGACCUUUACUUGUCAGCCAAAAAGAAUUAUAAAACAGUUUAUAAGCGCAGAGAAGGGGGGGGGGGAAGGCAUAGCAGGCAGAUUCAUCUUAUCAGCAUGAUGACAAUCCAAACAAGAAAGAUCACUGACAGACAAAGGCACAAAUGACUUCUGAAACAAGAACUGACUAUUUACAUGUACAAGAGACAAUUUCAUCAUUAAAACCAGAAAUAAAAACAUUUGAAUAUCGUGCUUGACGGGGGAUAUGGAGUGUUUUUUAUUUUCUUUUUUCUUCGGUGUUGUUUUUUCCCGGCUGCGGGGGCGGGGGUGGGGCAGGGGCCGGGGCACUCUGAAGUUUACAUGGGUUACAACAAAAGAAAAAAUGAUAAGGAAGAAUAAUAAGUAAUAUGUUGUAACUAAUAUAAACAUCAACCAACAAUCCGUCAAUCAAUCACAUGGAAGAUGAAUGGCUAGAUAGUGGAUAUUUUAUCAACAACGUUUGGCAGGGUAGGAGAUUACAAUUGAAAAGUUCUUUUACUGGAUCACAAUGAAAUCCAAACAAAGAAAUCUCUGCAAUCUAAAAUUUGUCCUAGAGAACUACAAAAUCGAGUACAGAAAGGAAAAGACAGACUCUGUCUUACAAAUAUGCAAUGUAGAGCCUAAUGAGCAGCCACAAGCCACUAGAAACUGUUCAUUCGGUUAUGGUAAGUACACGAAUCCAGAAUAGUGAACAACAAAACUUGCAGCAUAGAAAAUUUCAGCCACUUUUUAAGUUAAGGACAUCAACUUUGAACGGACUAAUUUUCUAAACAUUCCCCAGUUUCAAUAGCAACCAAUUACAUCGUAUCCUAGUUGAACUGAACCUAAAUCUUCAGUCGAUUCAAACUUAUUAUACAUUUAUACAAAAAGGAAUGCAUGCAAUUGAUCAGACAACCACAGGAGCUAAAAUUUAAACAAAUGUCCAAAUGCACACCAGACGAAAACACAUGAAGAUGAUGCAAAACAAACAUAAUCCAUACAAAAAAUAGUUGACUUGGAUUACCUUACUAGCACUUGGGCUUCCUAAAUUUUCUUGCCUUAAUUUUGCACAGUGGACGAAAAGGGAGUUAGGGUUCCUGGGUGGGGGGUUCAGAGCUCAGAUGCAAAACAAAUAGGAAGAGUUGAGCGGAGUGAGACCUGAAAGGAAACUUAAGGUGGCUUUGGGUUUGAUGAGCAGGGACAGAAACCAAGAAUGGUUAAAAGAAAAGUGAAAAUCUUGCGUUCUCAAUGCGAUUCAUUCAAUUAAACUCGCAUUACUAGGGGCCAGACCAGGACUAGUUUUCUUGGGUUCAUGAAUUAUAAGACUUCAGCUGAUCAUCAUCAGUGUGGCAGUUGGUCGAAGGAACGACAAUAACAAGAGAGGCAACGACGGUAAAAGGGGCAGUAAAUGAAAACGCAUACAGGUAAAAGAGAGGUCGUAUUCACGUGCCACAAUAGUCAUCACUUUUAUCGUUCUGAUUUCAGUGCGUCAGUCUCGUACUGCCUACUUGCUUUUGCUUUUGCAGGUUUUGCUCUUGCUCCUUGCCCUAUUAAAUUCAACUCUUAUUAACUCCAAUUUUACCUAGUCGAAGUUAAAUACACACAUCCUUGUUACCAGUUGUUAGUUUUGAAAGUCAUGCUGCUGCCCUGAGCAAUCUACAACUAACUAAUGAUGGUGAUGAGAUUAUUGUAAAAUCUUGACGAAGAAGAUAACAAAAAGAAACUCAAAAAGAACGAAAACAAAAUUUUGGCCACGGAAGUAGUCAUGUUAAAUAAAUUUGUUGAUUUUAUUUGACUGGUCACAAUAUAAAAGGGGAAGUAUCCUUAUAAUACGCGUACCAAUUCACCAUUAAAUAUAUAAAAAAGAGAUAUUGAAUGAUGUGGCGAGAAUUGAUUGGAUUACUGUCAAAAAAGGAACGGUGGAAUUUCCUUUAAUAAGAACUAAUAAAUUUUCAAUCUUUUCCAUCUUUAUUAUUUACAACAAAAGAACAUAACAUGUUUUAAAGGACGAAGUGAACUGAGUAUAUGAGUUUUAAACUUUUGUUUGUGAUGUUUGAAUUACCAGUUUUCUAAUUUUGACAAUAUUCCUUGAUAUAUUUUUCAAUCACAUUUUUAUUUCAUACACGCAUUAAAUUAUUACAAUAUAUUUUUUAUAAAAAUUCUCAACAUUAGAAAAUUCAGAUGGAGAUGAUGAUGUUCAGUAUAUAUAAUAUAUGUAUUGUAUUAGCUUUAUCUUGGUGAACAAAUGAUAGUACCGCAUAUUUAUUUUUUUAAGAUAAGGAAUGGAACAUAACAUUCAGAAAUUUGAGGUUCUAAAUCAUAUAAAGUAUAGGAUCAACUCCAAAAACUCUCAUUUACUAAGAAGAACUUUUUUGUGUUAAGUUGAGUUGACAAAUUAUUACUUACAUAUUAUUGUCUCUUGAUUGCCACAAAUUUUAACAAAAAAUCCUUAGAUUUUCCUUGAUUUCUGCUUGUUUUCUCCUUCCAUUUCAUGAAUGUUUAAAGAUAAAGUGAGUUCAGCCAAAAUCACCAAAACUUAGAGGUUUCUUUCCCCCACAUUUUUCUUGCUUCUCCUUCUCUUUUAUGUAGAUAAUAUAAAUAUACAACUUAAAUUGUCUUUUCAAGUGCUGUCAAUCAUAAAAUAUCGUCAUAUUGGAGUAUCAAUUGGUAUCAUUUUGUAAGUACACUUACAAUGCCUAAUCAGAUAAGAAAUAACCAUUAAUCUUAUUUAAUUAGUUUUAUUGAACUUGUUAAUGCUCUAAUUUUUUUCUCCAAAUUUGUUUACUAACAACCUUAAACUCUAAGGGUCUAUAAGUAAAUUCACCAUAUCUUACGUUGGCAUAGGCUCCAAAAUCAUGUUACGAGAGAUUAGUAGGGAUGGCAAUGGGCAGGGAUCCUUCUCCUGUCCCCGCUCCGUUGUCAAAUAACUCCCCCCGUCCCCGCGCCUUGCCCCCCAUCCCCCGCCCAAUUUCCCGCCGCAAGAAAAGAAAUCAACUUACAAAAAGCAAAACUUUCCUCAUAUGUCCAAGCAUUUUUUAGAACUAACAGGAGAGAGGAAGAAUUCCCAAACACUAACCAAAAAUACAAAAAACAGUUAAAAUCCAGAAAUAACAAAAGGCAAAGAUCAAUGGAAAACAUAAAAAAGAAAAUCAGCAAAAUUAAGGAAAAAACAAACCCAUGGUUUGUUGGAACUGUUUAUAAACAAUAUUAUAGGCCAUGGAAAGAAUUCUUGUUCCAUCAGACUCUCGUAUUUACAUUUUCAUUAAGGCUUUUAGACAAACAUCUUAUAUAUAUAUAUAUAUAUAUAUAUAUAUUUAUGCGGGGGAUGGGGCGGGUGUACGUUGCCCCAACCCCGCGCCCGUUUUAAGGCGGGGGUAAAUAUUUCGCGCCCAUCCCCCGCCCCAUUUUACCCCGCGGAUGGGCACCCGCCCCAUUGCCAUCCCUAGAGAUUAGUAAUAUUUUCAAUCUCAAGGGAAGUGAGUGCAAUUUUUAGAAAUCUCAUGGAAGGUUUCUGCAAUUAUCCCUUGAAUAUUCAUGAACUAUUCAACCAGCUCGCAACCACCAUCAAUGAUCAUAAUAAAAACUUAUUCCGAUGUCAAACUAAACAACAAGAGGAAAUGUCAAAUAUUCGUACUCACGGUGAAGUAGCAAACAAUUCCUAAUAGAUCAAUCCAUAUACAUUUUCUCCUACAACUCUAAAAAGUACCCAUGUACAAGAAAUCAUCACCUUUUAAAUCCCAUAUAUUCACCCUAAUAAAGCUUUAAGUUGUGAUGUGAACAAAAUGUUUUACAAUUAUUAUUUUAUUUUAUUUGGUUCAAAGCAAACUCUCAAUCUUGACUCUCGAGGAAACGUAAGAGGACUUGAAUAAAUGUCUCGCCAUUAAGAUGUUUACGAGUUAGAAAUAUCAAAAUAUUGAGUUGAUGCAAAAAAAUCAGAUUGAUCAUUUAUAUGAUACGUAUACGAAUCCACUAAUGUGGAUAUCCGCAUUAUGCGGAUCGGAUCAAUUAAAUAUUCGAUUCAUAUUUGAUUUUAAAAUUUCCUUAAAAAAUUAAAAAUCAUAAAGAUAAAGUGAAAUUUAAAUGUAUUAGAGUUUCAAAAAUACCAUAUAAGUGAUAUGUUGUACUCGCAUAUAAGUUAUUAAUCAUAAAAUAAAAGAGUUUUUAGUCGAAAAUAUUUUUUUUUGCAAUAUAAAGUAACUAUUAUAUUUUUUCUUUUUCUGAUUCAAACAAAUAAGAAUUAAAUAUCUCAUCUACAAUUUUUUAUCCACAAAUUAUAUGACAAUAUGUUUAAAAACUUAACACCAUAUACAAAAAAAUCUAUUUUGUAAGAUAAUGUAAAAAUAAAAAUAAGAAACAAGAGAUAAAACUAUUAUAAAUAGUAGAUUUAAUUCGCUCUGCAUAUCCGUGGAUUGCAUACAGAUCGGAUUGCAUAUCCGUGGAUCACAAAAAAUAUCUAAAUCCGCUCUGCAUUACUCCUUCAUUUAGAUGUGACCCAGUCCGCAUAAAUAAUCCGCCAAGUCAGAUAUCUGCUAAUUCGGAUUAGAUUAUCGAUUUUUCUGAUCACCGAGUCAAGUUACACAACCUGCCUGCCAUUUGAAUAAAAGUGUAGUAAAAAGGUAAGUAUAAACCAUAAAGGCUCUCUUUGGAUUCAAGAGUUUUUCAAAAUUAAAUUUUUAAAUACUAUUAAAAUUUUUAAAAAAUAUUCUAAAAAGUAAUCUAAUUUUUUUCAUGUUUUAAAAUAUAUUCUAAAAACUCUCUUAUAUUUUUAAAUAUUUUAAAAAUAUUUAAAAAUAUUUUUUAAUAUAUAUUAUAAAAACUCUGCUAUAGUAAAAUUUUUAAAAACACCAUCAAAAAAUAGCUAAUCCAAAUGGACGAAAGUGUUUUUAAAUUAACAAGGAAAAGGUUUAGCACAAUAAACUUUGCAAUGCGGGAAAAGAUGACACAAUUAACUUCCAUCUUGCAUCGCCUACCGGUAAACAGUCUCCAAACUCUCCGACGCAAAAUUCCGGCUGGUGAAACGGUAUCCAAUUAAAUUUGGCAUAUUAUCACUUAGCUGAAACAAUAGAUAGGAAUUACAGAAGAUGUUCACGCAAUUUGGGGCCACGGCGGAGUCUUUGAGCAAAGCCUCAACGAUGGUAUUCCGGAUCGGUACUGACGCUCAUCUUUACGACGACCCCGAUGACGUCAACAUUGCGCCACUCCUCGACAGCAAAUUCGAUUCAGAGAAAUGCGAAGCUCUCAAGCGAUUGCUCGCUCUUAUCGCCCAAGGCUUCGACGUCUCCAAUUUCUUUCCUCAAGUAAAUUACUACUUGCUUCCAUUACUAUUUCUUAUAAUUAUGCUGAAAUCUUCAUAAAUCCGUGCCUAAAUUAAAUAUAUUUCUCAGUACUGUGGGUACAAGCUUGUUAAGUAAGCUUCUGUAAGCGCUUUGAUGAAUUUGUAGGUGGUGAAAAACGUCGCCUCACAGUCAAUCGAGGUGAAGAAGCUCGUAUACUUGUACCUUCUGCACUAUGCUGAAAAGUGCGUUAUUUACUGCUAAUUCCAGUCUCUUUAAGGAAAAAAGAAAAGUUAAUUGCAGUUCGGCCACCUCCAACCCCCCAACCCCUCCCCUCUCAAAUGAUUUUUAAUUUUUAAUAUCUGUUGAUGCAAUAUAGGCGGCCGAAUGAGGCAUUGCUUUCAAUAAACUAUUUUCAGAAGGAUCUGGGGGAUACAAACCCAUUGGUGAGGGCGUGGGCACUUCGGACUAUGGCAGGUAUUCGUUUACAUGUGAUUGCACCGCUUGUUCUGGUAGCAGUUAGUAAAUGCGCGAGGGAUCCAUCGGUAUAUGUUAGAAAGUGUGCUGCCAAUGCACUUCCAAAGGUGCAUGAUUUACGUUUGGAGGAAAACACUGCUGCCAUUGAAGAGGUUGGUGCAGCUUGAGAUAAUGUUGAUGGAUUUACUUCUCCCUUUUUGUGUUUGCAUUUUUUGAUUUCCAAUUACUGCUAUUGAUCUAUAAGUACUUAUAUAACUAAUUAAAGUUAGAAACUGUAGGAAAUACAUUCAUUUGUCUUCAGCACAAGCAUAUCUUUUUAGUGCUUGGUAUGUUAUUUCUACUACGUUUGCUGAUAUCUGUGUCUACUGAAGUUGUACUUUUACAUGCCAUAGAAAGUAAAAAGGAGAAUAUGAAGUAGAAUUCAGAAUCAUAUUGUCUUUUAAUUGGAUUAUCAUACUGUGAUGUGCAGCUUGUUGGGUUUUUGCUUAAUGAUAAUUCUCCCGGAGUUAUUGGAGCUGCUGCAGCUGCAUUUGCUUCUGUUUGUCCAACUAAUUUAUCUCUGAUUGGAAGAAACUAUAGAAGGUUAUGUGAGACUCUUCCUGAUGUCGAAGAAUGGGGUCAAAUUGUGUUGAUUGGUAUUCUUUUACGGUAUGCAAUUGCAAGGCAUGGGCUAGUUAAAGAAUCAAUUAUGUUAUCUUCUCGUGAUUUGGAGAAUAUUGCUUCUGAAAAUGGUGCCUCUGACACCUAUCAAAAAGGAAACGAGGAUUCUAACGCCUACUUUGGACUUAAAGAAAGCAACGCUGACUUGACUAAUGGGGUAUGUAAAUCUGAGGUAGUAGAUAUAGUCUCCAGGAGUUACCUUGAAGGGCCAGAUAAGUACUUAUCCAAGCAUAGAUGUGCAGAUGUGCUUUCGUCCGAGUUAGAGGGUUUGCAUUUCACAUCUGCAAAAGAUAAUGAGGACAUUAAGAUCCUGUUGCUGUGCACUUCACCUUUGCUGUGGAGUCAUAAUAGUGCUGUGGUACUUGCAGCUGCUGGAGUGCACUGGAUAAUGGCACCAAAAGAAGAUAUCCAGAAAAUUGUUAAACCACUUUUAUUUCUUAUGAGAUCCUCAAACUCGUCAAAAUAUGUGGUAUGUAGUUUGUUAUUUACUAUAUUUGUUUGAUAGCCUGAAAUUUUCUGGUUGACUAGUUGCAUAUUUGUUUGGUUUUAAAUUAUAGGUUCUUUCCAUAUUCAAUAUUUGUGUCAAAGGUAAGCCUUUCUUUUAAAAUAAGCUUAUCACUGAGUUAAUUGCCUAAAUAGGAACAUUGAGUGAUAGGUACUGGAUAUUUACUAGAAAAUUGAAGUAUAAUUUGUUUAUAUACUAAUUAGAGACAUGAUGGACUAAACGCAGUGAAAAUCUUCCACUGGAAGCUUUGUAUGUGAUUCCCCCUCUCUUCUGUUGAUAUUUUUUGUGCUACAUGACUUGCUGACAAUAUUUGUUAGGUUCGUUAGUUCCUGUCCUACAUAAAAAAGGAUAAUAAAACCAGCAAAAGUUUAUAGAAAAACUGAUUCAUAUUUCUUAUGGCAGCACCACAUCCAUGUCCCAAGGCAUCUGAUAUGAAAUUUGUAUAGACAGUGAUAGAUGUAGCUAUGAAUUGAACUCAGUGGUUUUAAAUACAUGCAUUAGGAUGGAGAUUGGUGAACCUUAACUGUCUUAUGGUUUUGGGAGUAGUGUUGGAGCCAAGCAUGUUUCCUUUGACCUGCUAUUGCUGUUUAUGUAUAUAGUUGGUCAUGAGAAUGUGGUGAAUGUGAUAGAUUAUACAUAUUAUACCAGAGAAUAGUAAUUGCUAGAAUAGGCUCUGCAUGUUAUUUGUGAUCAGUAUUUGUGGUUUUUGCUUGACCUCCUUUUCAGUUUGCCAGGAUUGAUGCUGCCUCGGGACCUUAUUGCUGAUAAAAUUUGCCCUGAUUAUGUCUUUCCCCUUUUCUGGAAUAGGUUCUCUGCAACAUCCAAGUAUUUUCUAAAGCAGUGCCUUCUCUCUUUGCUCCACAUUUUGAAGACUUCUUCAUGAGCCCUUCAGAUUCAUACCAAGUAAAGGCAUUGAAACUUGAGAUACUUUCCACAAUUGCUACGGAGUCAUCAAUUUCUUCUAUUUUUCAAGAGUUCCAGGUAAUUGCUGCAUAAUUGUCCACCGCAGCAUCAUUAUUGUUUCAAUUUGGAUCUUUGUCCUUGGAAGCCAGUUUUUAAACUGCAUGAUAAUACAUGGUGAUCUUAGGUGUCUACGGGCACCAUCAUCUUGCAAUUGAUGCUUAUCUUCUAGUGUAUUGCUAGGACUAUGUGAAAGAUCCAGACAGGAAAUUUGCUGCAGAUACAGUAGCUGCAAUUGGUUUAUGUGCUCAACAAUUUCCAAAGGUAGCAAAUACAUGUUUGGAAGGGUUAUUGGCCCUUGCAUCACAUGGUAAACAUCAAAGCAUCUAUUUGUUUGGAAAUGAGGGGUGAUUAUUAUUAUUCUCCUGCAAUAAUGGCUUUCAUCACAGAAUCCACAUAUGGUGAUAAUGCAGCUACAGAUGGAGAAGCUAUAGUUUUACUUCAGGCAAUAUAUUCAAUCAAAGCAAUAAUAGGAAAAGAUCCUUCCAGUAACGAAAAGGUAAUUAUCUGGCAAAUUUUGCUUCUGUGCUUGGUCUGAAUUGUACAUGUUUUUGUCUAUUGCUGCUCGCAUAUCGCAUCUUUUGUUGGCAAUAUUGGGACAAACACCAAAUGAUUAAAUUUCAGCCCCUACUACAUUAGUUUGUUCUUAUUUGAAGGUACUCAUAUCACAUAAUACACACUUUUAUUUAGUCUAUGCAUAUAGAUCUUAUUGUAGAACUUUCAACUCAGGAUAGAAUAUGCAAAAUUGGUAUAUUAGUUAGUUCCAUGUGCUAUGGAGAGGAAUUUGUAUGACAACUUUUAAGAUGGAAAAUUACUUAAUUGGAAAAAAUCCCAGUACUACAAUAUUUGUAAAGCUCACUUGUUUGUUUUUCUCCUUGUAUGGAUGAAGGUAAUUGUCCAUUUAAUUCGAAGUUUGGAAUCCAUCCGGGUGCCUGCAGCACGUGGAAUGAUUAUCUGGAUGGUGGGUGAGUACAGUGACAUUGGGAAUGUAAUCCCAAAGGUUUUACCUGUUGUACUUAAGUAUCUAGCAAGAUGCUUUACUGUGGAAGAAGUUGAAACAAAGCUUCAGAUUCUUAAUGCUUGUGGCAAGGUAUUUAACUAAAAAAAUUUUAAUUCUUUAUUUGCCUUUAAUAUUUUUGUUCAUGCAUGAAGGUGGGCAAGAAAUUAUGCUCUGCUCUUCUGGUCUGUUAGUUGACAUGCUUAGUUUUGCAUCGACCAAUUGAAUUUGCUCUAUGAUUGUACCAGUAAUUUAAAUGGUUAGUAUUAUUUUCUAACUGGCUGAGAUGAAAUUCACCAAUUUCUGAGUGGCUUGAUGUACUGUUUUAGGACCAUAUAAAUCUCUAAAGCCCUAUGAUCAUCAAUAAAAGACAAAAUUGUGUGGAUAGUUUUCAAAAGAUUGAGGAUUUAGUGAAGAAGUAGUACAGUCCAAUGGCAUUUGGUGCUUCCAGAUUUAAAUUUGAUCAACUUGAUAUAUAGUAUGGUACUCCAAGAGAAGUAUCUACCUUUCUUGUGGCUGCAAAAAUUGUUCUACAGCACCCAGUAGUGGGAAGAGCCACUCUUUCUGGGUGGUGAUAUACUCCUAUUUGGUUUUCUACCAACAUAGGCAUUUGUUAUUGGUUUCACUGCAUGAUGUCUCCCCCCCCCCCCCUUUUUUUUGGUAUUAUGUGCUUCAUUUAAUCUCAAUGGAGGAGAAGAAAUUUACAGCCUUACUUUGGGCUGGAAUAUGUGUCCACAGACAAGAUUAUCAUGUGGCUUUCUAUCUUGAGUAAUCUAAAUGCUGAAUAUAUAAUUUAUUAGAACCUAAUGGUCAUGAGCAGAAAUGAUAAUCACUAUCAUAACCUUGAGAAACAUUUAAAAUACAGGGUUGUAGGCAAAGUCAGAUGUUGCUGAACUUUGCAGUACACUAAGAGCAAACCUUGCUUGUAAGAAAACAAAAUGUCAAGUUGUCUUGGAUUAGCUGCUUCUCUUGCAUGUAAAGUAUUUGCUCUUGAAUGGUCAUGGAACUGAUCUAAAACAACUAAAAAGUACAUUUAGCUCCCAGGUACAUGUUAGGUUGUGAAUCUUGUUUCACUUCAUCAACCUUUUGCUUUAUUUCUUUACAGGUCCUAUUGCAUUCAAAAGAGGAAGAAUUAUGGGCAUACAGAAAAGUUUUAAGUUACAUGCUUGAUCUUGCUAGAUGUGACUUGAACUAUGAUAUCCGUGACCGUGCUCGUUUUAUAAAGGAACUUCUGUCAUGCUAUAUAGGUUCUUCUGAUACUGAAGAAGGAAAAGCCCAACAAGAGAGCAGGGAUGUUUCACGUGUCCUUGCAGGAAGAAUUUUGGGGACAAAUUAAAGCACCAUCAUCUGAACAGUUUAGUGCUCGCUUCUAUCUUCCUGGUUCGCUCUCACAUGUGGUUCUUCAUGCAGCUCCAGGCUACGAACCUCUUCCAAGACCUUGUAGUCUAAAUUUUGAGGAUCCUAGUAUAAACUCUAAUAUUGUAGAGGGAGCAAAGAGACCAGGCGAUGGUGCUACUCAAAGUGAGUCUUAUACGGAUGAUCCGGAUUCUGUAUCUGGAUCUUUGAAUGAAGAAAGUACCUCAGAUUAUAGCUAUGCAGAUUCGAUUGGUGGUUCAGAUGGUACUGGUGGAGCAAUGUUAGUAGUUCUCUUAGUGAAGUUGAUGUCCAUAAGGAACCACUGAUACAUCUAUCUGAGGUUGGCUAUCCCAAUGCAAAUCCAGAUGGGGGCUCACAUGUGGAUAAUCAAUAUUCUGGCUCCAAUAAUCUUGGGGAACUAAUAUCUACAAGAUCGCUUGAAUCAUGGUUGGAUGAGAACCCAAAUUCAGGCCAUAAUUUGUCUGAACCAAGUUCUAUUAGGAAAUCAUCAGCAAGAAUCUCAAUCGGGCAUAUUCAUGACAGAGUUGAACCUAAAAUAUGUGCACUGCUGGAUCCUGCAAUGGAAAUGGCUUGAGUGUGGAUUAUGCAUUCUCAUCUGAGCUGUCAAGUCUUUCUCCCUUGCUUGUAUGUUUACAAGUUUCCUUCAAGAACUGUUCUACAGAGCCGAUGAUGAAUUUACAAUUGGUAGAAGAUAACAAAAGGCAAGAUUCAUCAGAUCAUGCAUCAGCAAUGACUGAGAGGUGAUAUUAAGCUCCAGUUCUCCUUGGUUUGCACUUCAGUUAACUAUUGUUUGGUCAGACAACCUUAUCCUAAAUUGCAUUUCUCUUCUCAAAAUUUGGGAAUGAAUGUAGAUCAAUUUAUACAACUGGUGUCAUGUCUUCCAGUUAAAAUGGUAAUGGGCGUGUUGAAUAUGUUCAGACCUUUGGUCCAUGACUUGACUUGUUUUGAGCAGUAAAUAUUCUGGUUUAUUAUAAUUUUAUUUUGAUUUUGUGCUUGUAGAUGAAGAACUACUUGAAUCUCACUUCUUCUUCCUCUUUUUUUUUUUGUUUUUAAUUUUUGAUUGGUAUUUGAAUAGAUUGAACUAGUUAGUCGUGCCUUUUUAACAUAUUUUAUGGGGGCUGAAGGCUUGCAAGGAAGUUGAUCGGUGGAAAGUGUGUUGGUCUUCUUGCACGAUUAGUUGUUUUGUUUUGUUGCUUUGUUGGAUUGAGGAUUGGGAGCCAAGGUUCUGGGAUAAUUCUUCUCCUAAAAGCUGGGGAACCUGAGUUGUAUGAGUGGACAUAAAUGGAAUAUAGCACUAGCCAGAUUGCUUGGACAUACUGCCAGGCAGGAAAGAAAUAUGAAAUUUAACUGUUAAACCAAUAAUGUCAGCAUUAGUUGGAGCUUUGUUUUAUUUGUCAAAAGAUCCAACGAAGAGUUACAAAAGAAAGACAUAAUUGAUUAUAGUCUUCUACAUUAGGUUACCUUUAGGUUCUGCCAUUUAUUGAUAGUUUAUUUGUUUGUUUACACUAUGUACUGGUGUUUUUUCUAUUUUAGGAGUGAUGUUUUACAGUUGUAUGAGAAGAGAUAAAAUCUUUUUGAAACCUUUUUAGGUUCAUAAUUCUGAUUCUGCCUCAGAAAUAAAAAAUGUAAAGACUCACAGAGAAACAAGUAUGGGAAUUCUUAAAAGGUUACAUGUCAUUUUUGUUCAUCUUGUGGCCAAAAUGUAUCUAAUAAGCAAGCUUGCUUGAGAAUUCAUGAUUUCUGCUCUCCUAUUAUAUGAUGCGUGUAGAACAUCUAUCAAUUCACCAUCAUCCUAAUGUUUCCAUUGGUAAUUAGUUUCUUUGUUUGUGUCAAUUUGGCCCACAGUUCCUCUCAUGGUGAUGUGCCAAGUCUGGUUCCUAUGGAAGAAAUUGCUAAUUGGGUCCUAGUGAGACUAUCAACAUAAUGCUUCAAGUUCGUUUCCGCCAUCAUCUUUUACCUCUAAAGCUGGUAUUAUGGUGUAAUGGCAAGACUUAUCCAGUUAAGUUGCGACCUGACAUUGGAUAUUUCGUAAGACCUCUUCCAAUGGAUAUUGGAGUGUUUUCUGCCAAGGAAGCUCAGCUGCCUGGGAUGUUUGAGUACACAAGGAGGUGAGUUGUUAACAUCUAGUAAGAAUUUCUCUGUAGUUAUUUGUAUAGCUUAACAUUCGGCUCCUCUUUCUUUUCUUUGCUUUCAUCAUGCAUUAUUUACUUGAAGAAACUUUGAUAGCCAAGUUCUAGAAAUUACAAUUUCUCUGUUCGCCUAGUUUUGGAUUGAUGCAAAAUUUGUGGAGUGAGCAACUUGUGGACCAAAUGCUACAUGGUAUUGGAUAUCUAAAUAGCAAAUGGUUGUAAGUUAGUCCCGUAAUGCAUUGAGCAAGUUCACAUGUGUGCAAGUGUAGGAGCACAUCCAUGAUGCAGAUGUGAGAAACCUCCCACUCCCCCAACUGGCAGCGCUCAAAAAUUUCUUUGUUGUAAAAAAAAGGGAAAAAAAAAGAAAAAACUUGCUUUCAGCAUAGGCAAGGAGGGAAGAAAAGUGAGGGACACAAGCUUGGCAGAGAUUUAAAGCAUUUUUUUUUGGAGAGAGCAGUCCAUGCAUUCUCUUCUUGUCAUUAUUUUCCUCAAACAUGUGUGUAUUUCUUGCAAUGAUGAUUUGCUAAGUUUAUCUUUAUCAUGGAAUUAGACAUUUGAGUAUUUUGUACAAUUUACAAUAGGUGUAUCUUCACGGACCAUAUUGGAGAGCUGAAGAAGGGUGAUAAACCAGGGACAAAUGAUCAAUUUCUAGUCAUCUGCGAGUGUUUGGCAGUAAAGGUGCUGAGUAAUGCGAACUUUUUCCUUGUAUCUGUCGACAUGCCUGUUUCUGCCAAUCUUGAUGAUGCAUCUGGUUUACGUCUAAGAUUUAGUGGUGAGCUCUUGAGUAAUUCAGUUCCCUGCUUAGUUACGCUUGUCCUGGAGGGCACGUGUUUUGAACCACUGAAUAUUUUAGUGAAAGUCAACUGUGAAGAAACUGUAUUUGGUUUGAAUUUGUUAAAUAGAAUUGUGAACCUCUUGGCUGAGCCUGCUCGAGAUAAAAAAUGUAUUAUUUGAACCAUGAGAAGUGAGCCAUAUGAUUUCGUAUCAUGGUGCUCAAUCUCACCUUGGUCUAUUCAGUGGAAAGUUUUUUGCAUGAAUGUUCGAUAGGAUUGGAUGAACCAGAAUUUAUGCUGUCAAAUUACAAGCCCUUCAUGAAAUAUCUUUGCACUAAACAAAGGAGAGGUGAAAGUAUAUGAUGCGUUCUUACAUGCUAAUGCCAAUGACGUUUCUUCGGCUGUUGCUUUAUGUUGCUAACCAGCCUUCCACUUUUCAUCAUAUCUAAACUUGGGAGAGACGCCAGAUGAUUAGAGUGGAAUGAAAGUUCCCGGCAAUGAAACGUGAUUCUUUGUCCCUUGGAAUUAUUUCCGAUGGAAUAUGGAUCUCAUUUUACGGUUCCAUAAAUAGUGAUAGAACACUAAUGUGGCUAGAAGUCAAGGCUACAACUUCUCAUCGUUAAUUGAGGAUGAAAAAGGGCUUCCUUUUGUUUGUUUGUAUUGAUGCUUUACAUCUGUACCUCUUUAGCUUUCACUCAUAAGGAGAGAGGAUAUAACGGAAUUCGAAAUUGUAAGGUUGACUAUCCAUUAUUUUUGCGAUGGGAGAUUUUUUAUCACUGUUUAGGCACUCCAUUAUCAACCUUUUGAGUGACCCUGAUUGUGGCAAUUGGCUGUAUAUCCACUCCAGCGCGAUUCCAUGUUGUCCGCAAAGUCUCUCAUGUGCCACUGCAUUAGUUUGGGCACGAUAAUUCUUUUCUUGCCUGUAACUCCCACAGCUGCUUCCAAAUACUCUACUUUUGCCCUCUCUAGUUCAUUCACUACCUCUCUGGUGUAAAACCCUUAACUGCAAAUUGCAAAAACCACGACCCUUAUCGUCUUCAAGCUUACUAAACUAAAAGGGCUGGUGACCGGAUUUUAUAGUAUUGAUGAACAAAACAGUGCACUCACCGCCGGGGAAGACCAGCAGCCUCGGCAAAGAGCAAAUGUAACGUUGGGUUCUGGAUAUCCAAGACCAUAUGCAUGUCUGAGGAGCAUUUCUCUCACGUGUCAGCCCCUGAUAAUUCGUCAUGCAUAUUUUAACCAAGCUUUAGGUAAGAUUCAUUCUCGUAUAAUAUGUGCUGUUACUGUAUUAAGUUAGCAUCUACUGUCUUUUGAGCAAUUGUAAGCAGAAUAUGUUUCUUGCUUCAUAUUGCUUUUGGAAUCAACCAUUACGAGCAUGUAUGCACUACACCAGAAAAAUGCACUCACUUGUUUUUGCUCCGUAGGAUGACGAAGGAUGAAGUGCUCGAUAGCAAGGGCAUUCAAUACGAUUCCUCCAACAAUUAUCACAGCCUGGGGCAGAAGACAUACACACGUCAAUUUUGAAAAUCACUUCUUCUAUUCGUGGUUAUUUCACUCUGUCUGGUCAGGUAUCUCAAGCUCCUUUUUCAUUAUUUUUCUUGCGUUAGUUUGCCAACUGCAAGUCUUUCCUUUCAAAAUGCUACGACCUUAAUGAGUGCAAUACUGAGUCUUAUGUUCAGUGCAUACCUCGUUCAUGGCUGUGAGUAAUUUGUCCUGGCUAGAAGAAAACCGAGUUGCAGAAAUGCCUGAAUUGAAGAUUCACCCAUUUAUAUCCAUCUCUAUUUUUGUCAAAGAAUGCAAAGAUGUCUACUAUACAUGCAUGAUGCACGCAUUGUAAACGUUUAUCCAGAAAGCUAGCUUCUGUUGUAGCGUCAAGUAUGAUAGGUCCACAUUACUGAGUUUAUGCAUCAAAACCCUGCAAGAAAUUAAAGUAAUUAGUUUGAGUUUCAAUCAGAAACCCUGCAAAAAUGCUUGUAUGUUUGUAGUAUCUCCAAGUCUAACCGCAAUUUUCUCAUUGCUGGAUGACAUUCGGAUAAAUAGCUUUUGUCAACUGAAUUCGUCUGUAAUCUGGAAAAAUCCUUGUAAGUCCAAGUCUCGGAUGCUGCCAUCUAAGUCUUGCAGGAUGCGGUAUGGAUCAAUAUUUGAUUUGUCAGAAUCCAGGAAAAUGGGGAUACAGUGCAAGCUGAAUGAUGUUUUAGACAUGAGGCCUCUUGCGUUUCAUGGAGGAUAAGCUACACUUUGGAACAAUGGCUGAUCCUUUCAUCUCAAAUGAUGCCUGUUUCAUCUCGAGAUAUAUGCCUAUCAUGCACUUGAUCAGUUCUUCAGACAGCUUGUUUGGCUUCUCAAAGUCGAUUUCUAUUUCUAUAUCUAAUGGGAUGCGACUUUCCAACUUCUUGAACUUGAACAUCUUGACUUCUGAUCUAAUAUUUCUGUGCAAAUGGUUUCAUAAUUGGUUAUCAAUAAUUUUGAGAGCAAAAGGCGAAGGAGGGUCAAGCCAAGAGAGGAUCUGUUAAGAAGUAAAUCAGCUUUAUAAAGCAAAAAAGUUUAAAUUUACCACUAGCCGAAGAAAAUGAGCUUCGGAAGUCAAUGGAAGAACGACGGAGGUUCUUCUUUCCUGAAGAUUCUAGGUUUUCUAUUUUGUGGAUAGUCUGUUCGAAUUUUCUGCUUGGAAAUCAAUUCCUUAUUACUCGACGGAGCCACAUCGAGGCGGCAGUUCUUUGAAUCGCCAGCAUUUCCCAUUCCUGGUCUGCUUCUUUUCUUGGUACAGGUUUAGCUUAAGCUCAUCAACCUUUCUCUCCAGCCACAUAAUUUCUUCUUCAAUCAUUGCCAGUUCUUUGAGCAGCACGUGAACCUGCACCGAUUCGAGUCACUAAACACACUCAAUUCUUUCCCUGGAUUUGUCGCCCUUGUGGAUUCAGCUAUGGCUAUUCGUAAUGUUUAAAUAAUCGUUUAAGUUGAAGCAUAGUUAUCAGAAGUCAACAAUUUAACAAAGACAAAAAACUUAAAACAUGCGAUCAAACAAUGAGGAACUUCAUCUCUGUAUUUUACCUUUGCGGAAGCAAGGAAGAAAGACAUUGGCAGGAAUGAAUUGGUUGCUGCCAAGGCGCAUUGCACACUCUCUGCAGUUGUAGUUCCCCGUCCAGCUCUUGCUGCAGUUUUCUACCUGCCAUAAGAUAAUGGUUAUAGAUGGCAGUCACACAUUUAGUCGAUGCCAAAAAAAACAAAAAAAAGGGUCUUUUAGUUCCCACCUCGUCUUCGAGGUCUUGUAUUUUUUGCUUGUCUUCGCUUGGCUGCAUUAGUAAGUCUUCAAAUUUCAUAAUUCAGAAGCCUCAUAAAUUGGCAAUGGAUACCAAAACAUAGAACCAUGAAGUAGACAAGGAGCAAGAAAUGAAUGUGAAUGUAUGAUAAUUUGAGUUGGAUUGGAAGACAAAAAGUCCUGUUGAAUGCGGAGAAAGUGUUGGGCAUCUGAAUAUAUGUGCAAGGUCAUUGGUCAUUUAGGAGAACGUGAGUCCACCUACAAGUGUAAAUUCAACAAUGAGGUGACAGACGUGAAGCCAUGAACAGGUUUAAACAUUCAACGCCGCCGGGAGUCUACGAGAAUCGCAUUGGUUUCAACUUCCAACUUUAGUUGUGGAUGGCUUUCAGUCAACGCAUGACUUUGUAUCAAUUCACGAGUUUGUGUUGAAGUGAUGAUUUUAGAGCACGGUUCCCUUUCAAAUGCGUUUUUACCUUUCUUAAUCAGUUAGCUGUAACCGAGUUGCUUAGCAUUUAGGAAACCUCAAACAAAACCAAAAAGGAAUAUGAUCAGAGUUCCUUAGGGUCCCAAAAAUGAAGGAUGAACUUUGUGUUUGUACAACACAUUCAGAUUUCCAGUUGGAACCGAUGCAAGUGAAAAAUCAUCACUUGAGAAACCUAUAGACAGCUACCGCAGUAUCAGUGCAAGGAGAAAAAUCAUCGGUUCAUCAGUUGGAACUUCCAAAUCAUAAAAACCCAGGGGCAGUUCAUUAGUUACUGGACCAACAUACAUGGAACAACCAGUACGCCGUCUGUGGGAAUCGAACCCACGACCACAUGGUUAAAAGCCAUGCGCUCUACCGGCUGAGCUAAGACGGCGGCCCAUGGAUGAGUGCUAAAUUAUCUAAUAAUUAAGUCUUCUUCUCUAAUUCUGAUAAGGCAUAUAUUUUGGAGUACCAUUAAUUCAUUCUUUUGUUUUCGGUAUAAACCAGAAACAUUACGAGGACUUCUCUGCAAAUGGCCAGCUCAUACCACGGAGGGUUCAUUCCGCUGUAUUUGCUCUCUCUACCUUUGAAUUCUCUGACUGUAUUUUUCAUACACCAAGCGUUGAAAGGACCUCAACAGAACGUAAUGGCUACCGUCUUGCAUUUGGUUUUAGCAGAUGCUAUAUGAUAGUUUUGGGGGAUCAUUUCCCUUUUCCAACUUGAGCAAUCCCCGCCAUGGCUGUAAACUACAGCACACACCAUAUUGUGGUUGGGGUUUACUAGUUCCCAUCACUCCCCGAAUUCCAGUAAUUGCUCAGCAAACUCGGAGGCCACUCAAAAGUCAAAAGAUCAGUUUGUGAACUCAACAAAACACGCAUACUAAACAAGGCGUUCUUUCUAGCACAAAAUGUUACAGAUGCAACUUUGAACAACAUUUUAAUCCUAAUAUCGCAACUCAAGCGAGAUGAAGAGAACUUCUGGUGCAGCUGAAGAUUCAUUCCAGACUAUAUUACAAGAAUCGCAUAUUGCAUAUUGAGCACGCUCAUCUGUCAGAGAAACUAGUAGUCGCUUUCCUUCCAUCCACCAAAUUCUUCUUCGGCAUUGGCGUCCUCCUGUUUCAAGAGAUGCAUCAAAUGACAGAUCAUAAUAUCUCCAAAUGUUGCCAAGAAGCAUAUCUGACAGCAGUUUAUUUGGCGUUGGAUGAAUACCUUUGGAGUAAAAGUAAUCCCAACUUGAAUUUCUCCACUGAAUGUUUGGUCACUGGCAACAAUGCUAUACUUUUGACGAUGUAUUUCAGCUUUUCCAUUCUCCACACCCAGUUCUAGAAGCUCUUUCAGGUAGAUGCUGCAGGUAGACAUGUUAUUAGUGCAGUGCAACUGAAAUUGAUAAGAUACUUGGGGAAAUAGGAUAAAGACAAUAAGGACAUUUCAUUUCUGUGAAUGGCGAAUGCUCUAUAUACACACUUGAGGAUCAUGACCGGUAAGGAUAGAAACCACUUCCGCGGAUAGGGGAUGAACAUUCUUCUUUCAGUUUUCUGUGAGAACUUUCAAAGGAUUCCCGACGUAGUUUCUUAACCGAUGAUGGUAGUGUGUUUUCGAUGCUAAAAUUGCUGGAGUUUAACUUGAGGUUGUUGGUCUAUUAAACUGACUAGCUAAACUAGAUCAUUUCAGCAGGUGCUUUGCAGUAACAAAAUUUGAACAACCGAAUAGGAAAUAAUUAUCACGUCUAGUAACAUAGGAAACGAUUGGGAAAGGAACAGAAUAUGCUAAAUUAUCUUCUUUUUUGGCAAUAAAUUCUAAAUGCCUCACGUGGACUGGCCGAGGUAGUCAUCAGACGAAAAAGUAUCGUGGUCCAUUAUCUUGAGAAUGAGCUUGUACUGGUCAUCUCCUCCUGGAUACUCUGCUCUGAAGGUGAAUUUCUCAUUCCACGCUGGGUUGCUUCCUUGCCCUGCAUAGCAACACAGUCUGUCAAAUCGUUGGAACAGAAGAUUGAUUGCAUAUACAGUCGAGUCGUUACAACUUACAGGGUCAUAUUCUUGUAUUUGAAUUUACAUUACUAUUACUGCUACUUCUUGUCUUACAGAUGUUUGACUAUAUAAUGCGACAACCAAAUUGUAAACGCAGAUUAGACAUUGAAUGAGCCAUAAAUAAAAUGUCAUUACAAAGUCAAGAAAGACAAUUAUGCGUCUCCUACCUAGACAGCUUCCAGGAAACUACACAGAAAGAAAAAAUCCAUAUUAAAGAAGAAAAAAUUGCAAAAAGGGAGUCCCUCUUGAACAAUACACAUCUUGGCAGGCAGUUGUUACUAUUUUCUGACCAUCAAAAGGAGAAGUCGUAGUGUCGUAAUGAUGAACGUGGGUAGGAGGCGGAUUUGGGAAUCCUGUUGAUGGUAGCAUUCAAUUUUGACUAAGUCAGAAAAAAGAAUUGCUUUAAGGUUUAUAUCAGUUGCAUUGAAUAUCUCUCAAGGACCAAACUGACACAGACCGUAAAGCUUGGGAGGCAUUAUUGACAGUUCAACCUUACAAUAUAUAUAUAUAUAUAUAUAUUUUUCUGAAACGUGAAUACACUCGAAUCCUCCUGCAAGAAGAUUGGGCCAAAUUUGUGCUUUUCUUUCUUUCGGGCAAGACGCUCACAUCUGGACUGGGUCAGACACUGGUGCGGAGGCAAGUUUGCUUACUAUUCUGUUGAUACGCUUUUAAAAAGUAGUAGUAAAUGUUUAAUUACGUACCUCGAGCAAUGCUACUUUUGCGCUCUUGGCCUCUGUACUGAAUCAAAACAUAGGGAUCAAUUCCGCCUGCACGGCACGCAAAAAAAAACCACCCUAGUUAACCACCAUGCAUCUCCGGAGUCCAGUCUUGAUGAAGUAGAAGAAGAAAAGAGUAAUACAACGUGGCGACUAGUUUGACUAAGUCUCAAAUAAAAUUCUCCGUCGUUGCCUCAGUCGUGGCAUGUGGAUCGGAAUAAUCGCACAAGGACGAAGUGGGCGUAACAUUUCCACAUCUACACCUUUUGAAUUGUCUCUGUCCUUUUUCAAUUGAAUGAAACUAAUGAAAAAAAAAAUGUAACUCAGGAACAAAUUGUGGUUGGCGCCGGAGGGAGGAGGCCGUCAUGAUUAUAAUGAGAGGCAAAAUCUCGAGAUAUACUUUUGGCUUCAGCAGUAAUUAAGAGGCCAAUUGGUGAUGAAGAAGAGAAUAGAGAUGGGGUUUUAGUGGUCAUCUGAUCAUCAAACUAACAUAAAGAUAAAGAGGGAGAUAAAACUCCGAAGACGCUCAAACCAUCAACAAGAGCAGCAACAUAUGAAGGAGAGAGACCCAGAAGACAAAAGAUGAAACCAUGCACACAAAAAAUCACAGGCAACACAUAUCCCAGGCUCAAAAAACUUGAUCGGGACGGUAAAACAUUAUUGAGUUUCUUCAUCUUUGUUGCAUCGCAUGUGAGAUCAUUAGCUGUUUAAUGGCAGUAGUAACGUGAGAUGAGUGUGGAGUGUGGAGUCGUGCAAUUUUUGCUUACCAAAAAAUUCAGUGUCUUUGAGACCUCGAGCGCCAACUAAAGUCACCUCCAUUAUUCCGAUCGUCAUUUCUCACCGUUCCUCGCAGAGAAGAGAGAGGAGACUGAAGAGAAUCAAUAGUCAAAUUCAACGGAGGCUUCCUUCCUAAUGCGUUAUUUAGUGCUCGUUCAGGAUUCAUUGUCUCACGUUUUCAUUAUAUAUCCAAGGUUUUACGCACACCUGUGACUUGACUUCUCAUUCUCAGCGGAGCGAGUGACAGCCUGUCUUCCAGUAAAACUUUCGUGGCAAUGCCCCACUCAACAGGUUGGCGUUUACACGUAUGAUUCAAAAUUUUCAAAAUCGUGAGAGAACUUGCAUGGCCUUCACAGAAAAUCUGAAAUAAGUAAACCUGUGGGGUUUCUAUCCCACAUCGGUUCGGGGGGGUUUGGGGUUUGGGUUUAUUAAGGUCUGCGGGAGCCUUCAAAAGUUGCCGGCUUUUGAAGGUUUCUCGCAGGUCAACUUUAGUAACGAAAAAGUCUGAGUUUCUCAGUCAUCGGAAAAAACAGAAACCUCGGGAGGUGAUCUCUCCAUUUCAGUGGGUGUCUGGGGGGUCUUUACUUCUUAGCAGCGGGGCACCCCUGUGGGGUUUCUAUCCCACAUCGGUUCGGGGGGUUUGGGGUUUGGGUUUAUUAAGGUCUGCGGGAGCCUUCAAAAGUUGCCGGCUUUUGAAGGUUUCUCGCAGGUCAACUUUAGUAACGAAAAAGUCUGAGUUUCUCAGUCAUCGGAAAAAGUGAGAGAACUUGCAUGCUACCAUACUCGUCUGAUGAUAAAAUAUCACUCCAAAGAAAGUAAAAAAAUUUCAUAGCGAUCAUGUCAGUUUUUUAUUUGACACGAUAAAUUCUAUAUUAUUCGUUCAAGCUGGAAAACAAAGAAAACCUAGUCCGACUGUAACUGCAAGGACAUUUUUAUUUCCCACGAAAAGAAAAAUAUAAGAAACCAUGAAGCCAUUUUUUCAUAGCACACUAGAAAUGCUUGGAUUUAGUACCUUACUUGAAUUUCACACUGAGGAAUUUCACACUCAAUCACAAAAGGGUGACGUAAUACAUAAUUUCUCUUUCGUUUCAUGUGACAAGAAUUAUUGUACUGUCUGUCAUGUUGACUGUCUCUAUACCAUUGUACAUUUGAACUUCUGUAUCAGUGUAUACCAACCAAUGGUUGGAUUUGGGGCAGGACGGUCAUCAGAUCGACCGUCCAUGAGCAGUCCUCUCACAAAAGAAAAUGAAAGAAAUGCAACAAGCCACGUAUAAUGGAGGUAGCAAUAAAGAAAACGAUGCUGUUGGUUCUAUCCAGUCAGAAAUGUGUCAGUGAGUGACGUGGGUUGAUUUGUUUGGAUGGGAGUUUAUUCAGAUGAUUUAUUUAAAAUAAUUAUUGUAAUAUUUUUUGUGAUUCGAUGUAUAUGAAAUAAAAAAAUAAUUAAAAACAUAAAAAAUAAUUAAAAUUUAUAAAACAAAUUAUUUUUUCUCAAAUCAUUUCAAUCCAAACACACACACACACACUGUACUACUGUUUUGCCUUUACCACUUAUGCCGCUAAUAGCGGACAAAGCGCGAAGAUAGUUAAACCACGACAAUCAUCAAAUAUUACAGAUGUUUGUGUCACCUUCCAUUUUGCGUCCGUGCUCCCACAGGAAAACAUGUACGCACAACAAGAAAAGAGGUAGAAACUUAAUGGUAGCGUAACCCAUCAAACGGGUGAGAAUUGACAUUUUCCCCGCACGAAGCCUCACCAAUGAAAAUCCAUACCCAGUUUGACUGCCUAAAAAUUCCAUCAGCGGUUGAAUACACACCACAAGGGAUCCAUCUUAAUUGGAAAAGCUCUGAAGUAGCACAGAGCCUAACUCGAAUUCCACAACUUUGGGAUGAUAUAGACUCCGCCAACCUUUAUUAUCUUUCUCCAUUAUAGUCGACUACAAUGUUGGCAAAAUUGCAAUUGGGCGUAAUAACCAAAAAAAAAAUGAAGAAGAGGAAGCAAAAGACUUUGAAAACUAAUCUAGCCUAACAAUCAACUCUUAUCUAAACUCUCUGGCUGUUGAGAUGAGAUAGUGCAUGCCUUGCAGGCAGGAACAGGCGAAGGUGGAGGUGGUAAGAAAUCUGAUACGCUAAUACGAAAUGUUUGCUGCUUCUCAUCGUUACCAGGUACAUGGAGGAGAGCUUCCAUAAGUAGUAUCUCCCAGUCACGAGGUCGCAAAAAUGAAAACCAGCUGUCAUCUGUUCCACGCAUUGUUACAGCAUGAAAAAACAAGUUAGGUCUGUUGGAACUAAUGUUAAGGAGCUACAACAAAAUAAUGUAAACUUCCUCCCCCAUGGCCCCCCCCCCUCCCUUUUGUUCUGUUGCAUUCCCCUCCCCCUACAUCCUAACUCCCAAAUCAGAUAGAGAAAGCUGCAUUCGGAAUGAUGUAUUAUGAAUAAAUCAGAUAAAAAUUGACCACGAUGGUAACUGACACCAACCUCCAUUACGAACAGCCUUCAACUGUAGGAUUCCAGUGCCUUGUGGUCCAGAAACAGGAAACGUGCACGAAACAGAAUGCCUUUUGAGCUACUGCAAGCGAGGCAUUAUACCAAGGACCUCUUACUAUGGGCUCUCCGAUGGCAUCAAUAAUUGCUUGGCUCUUACUAGCUUUCUCCAUGGCCUUGCUGCUUGGAAUCAAGACAAUAUUCAGAAAUGCUACCAGAACAGCUACAGCAAAUGCAUUACCAGCAUAUCAGAGAAAAUCAAAACACAAAGAUGAAAACAUUCAUUUUCCCCCUCAAUAAUAUUAGAAGCUGGGAAAUCAGACAUGAUUUCCAAGAGCAGCUUCUUUUUGCAUUCAGACAUACGCGAUUGGAGGCAUAUACCUAAACCAAAAGGCUACAUUAAUUAAGUAUAGACACUCACUAAGGAACCAUAAUUCUCAGACGCCUAAGCCAGGACUUAAGAUUGUCCCUAAGACAUAGAUUUACAAGCUUUAAGGAUGUUACAAAAAGAACUGCAAUCCGACUAUCAAUGUUUCAGAAUGUUGCAUCCGAAGAGGAAUAUAUCUAAAUGCUGCCCAUAAAUCCACAUUCAGCUACGUUUUAUUCAAAAUGGAAAAGAAAGCAAUAUAAGUACACUAGAGCAUUUUACUUGAACAAUUUUCCACCUUACUAAAAUACAUAAACUUUUAAUUGAAUAACUUUAGACUAUUUUAACAAUAAUAAGUAUCGUAUGCUGGGCUAGAAGAAUUCUUAGAGGUUAUUCCCUCUUGCUAAUGUAGAUUUUGAUGGUGUUCACUGCAAUAUACUAAACUCCAAAUUCUACAGAGCAGGGUAGUUAGUUAAUUAGUUUAUAUUCUUCUUGUUCAGAAAAACAUGAUACAUAGCUGAUUAUGUUUUCUGCAUCAUACCAACAAAUUGAUUGGAUUUAAAUGAUAAAGGAGGGCAGGAAGUCAAUUUCUUCACCUGUUACUUAGCUGCUAUAAAAGUCUCAACUUUCACGCAAAACUGUAAGAAUAAAUGGCUGAUCUGCUGAAGGAAGCUUUAAAAGAAAAAAGAAGUGAAAAAAAAACCAUGUAUAUUUACUCAAACGUCACCAAAUUUGGAGCAUCAUGAAAUUUCCAAUUCCAUGCGAACCCAGUAUCGGACAAUCAAGUUAUUCAAGCAAGGGAGAAGCUUUUGGCAAAGAAGAGGAUUAGUAAAGUAAAACUCAACAUACCUGCUACAACCAUGAUAAAUAGCAAGAUCAUCAAGAGCGCUCAAAGCAACACCUCCAGUUAAGCAUAUCAAUGCCCCCGACACAGCCCUCCUGCCCCAUCUUUUGCCGCUUGAUCUUCCACUCUCUUCCUCUACCAAACUGUUCCUUCGGGAAUACCCAUCCACUGAUAUUAAUUAAAAAUACAAACAACAUCCCAUAGACCAAAAGACAAACAAAUAUAGAGAAUCGGAAGCAAUUAUCUUGCUUGUAGAUAGAAAGCAGAAACAAAUUGACAAAAACAAUGACUACUAGUAGUAUGUGGGCAUUUAGGCUUUACGCAGUGGCGGAGGCCUGUGAUGAAGAUGAGGUUGAUGGGGUCCUUGUCUUCAGGAGAGAGAGGAGCCUUCGUCCCAGCAUUCCCUUGUGCGAGUUGUUAUGCUGCUGCUUCGGCCGCCGUGGAACAUGAAUAGAGCCGACAGCUGAUCGCCUGCUCAAGACGAAAUAGAAGAUUGGGCUGCAAAGCAAAUGGCAUGUCGGUUUCAGUUUUGCAUUUUCUGGACCUACUAGGUCCUUCAUGGCUAACGAAAGAGCUCCUUAAAAACAGACCAGAGCAGAGAAGCAAAUCAGGCCUACAUUUGAGAAGCCUGGGCCCGUUUUUUGAAGGAUAGGCCCGUUCCUAAACUUUUACUUUUUGAUGUAGGAGUAAUGUCUAGUUUGUCUCGGUACUCGAUCAUUAUUGAACAAGUUUGGCGAAUAGAGGGCUUAGCCUGCCAAUUUGAGUUCUUUGUGUUUUAUUUGGGAUUUUACUUUAAUGUAUCAUCAUUUUUACGAAAAAAAAUUAAUACCUGAAACUCUUCUUACCGACUAGGAUUCAGGUAUUUUCUCAAUUUAAUUUAACUUUAAAACAAAAAAUCAAUACCCAAACCCCCUCUUAAUGAAUCAAAUCCUUUUCUUUUCUGACCCCAUUGGGUUGAGUUAUCAUUGUUUUAAACUUUCCGGACUUGAAGUUGUUGAGGAGCAAAAAUUUGGACUCGCAUGAGAGACGAUUAUGAUUGCUUGAAAGGUUUCCAGAUGGAAAUUGUUGAGGAAUAAAUACUUGUACCAGAUCAAGCAACCGGGCUGGACUUCACAGAGACUCGUAAGACUCCAUAUCGCACAGUUGCAAAUGCAUUGCAUUGCAAAACUUAUCGUAUACCAUCUGGACCAAAGGAGGUUUCUAUCAAGUUUACAUGUCCGGCGGUUUCUGAACUUUGGCACUUUUCGAGUCUCAAAGGAGGGGACAAUUCAAGGAAAGCUAGCCUCCAAAUGGCAACCCAGUGCUUAAUUCAGCUACUAAAAAUUACUUUUUAUCAAACUCCUAGAAAAUCCCAUACAAGUCUUUUGUCUUUUGAUCCAAGGAGAAAGGGGAAAAAAACUGUAUGAUCAACGAUAAGAUGUAACAAGUUCUUCAACAUAGAUCUAGUAUCCACGAGCAGCUUCCAAAUGUUGAUUGACAGAAGGUAACACGCUGAUGUACAAAAUGAUGAGGGAAAACAUUUCAAAUUCUCCUCCUUGUGGCGUUUGUCUUUAUCUGCCAUGCCUGGGAGAAAUAUCAGCUGACCUGGAUCUGGAUCCAGAGGGUGACCUUGAUGCCUGACCAGGGGAUGGUCUCCAGUGAGCCACUGCUUCCCCAGAUUCAAGCUCAGUUUUCCUGCAACACAUCACAUGAAUGCACAUGCAACUGUAAAUGGAAAAAGCCUUGAGAGGAAAAGGGAAGGAGGUUUUUUGGGGGGAAGGAAGGGGGGGGGGGCAAGGGAAUAGCCAUCCGAAUAUCACAGCUUGAAAACUGCUGAACAUUCGCACGUCUUGAGAUACAAAAAAACAACGUUGAGCAAGUCUAAAUGACUUCCAAAUGAUUUAGGCCACAACACUACCAGGCUACCAGGAAGACCCAAAGUUGUUUCAGACGAGGAGGCUGAAAAGCAAACAUUUCACUUCUCAGAAUACUAUCAAAGGCAGAGGUCUUUCAGAAUAUUGGUGAUUAGCUUCAUCAUAAUGCUGGAAAUACACAAACCAACACAAUAAUAUAUCAGGACCUUCCCCAGCCCCUUGAACCUUCCUCCUGUCCUUUUGAUGCAACAAAGAAAAUGAUGCCCGGCUCCCAAACCCCUCGAUGGCACAAUUAGAAAAGACUCCAACUUCUUGCUUUUAAUCCGACAUCAGCAACUAUUACUUAGAGCAUAACUUCACCACACUAGUAUUUAACAGCAAGUGACCUUCGUAAUGCGUGUUUCUACUUACUUGGCAUAGCUGCUGCCAUUUCGGUCAGCCACAUCAUGGUAACCAGGAGAAUAUGACCUGUGAAUAUGAACAAGGUCUCGGUCUUGCAGAUGAUCUCUUGGAGAUCUAGGGCGAUCAUCAUACCUUCUCGGUGGAGAAAUAGAAUAAUCAUUACGGCCCCUUGGUGCAGGAGAGUACGACCUGAAAAUUAUUGCAAUGAGACACAUUCAAUUAAGAGAAGGGAGAUGCUGAAACUGUUCAACCUUAACAACUCACCUUGAUCUAUAUCGACCUCUAGAACCUGAAGCAUAUCGAGGGGAGCGUGAACGAGAGCGAGACCUAGAAUGCCCUGUGCAUAGAAUGCAAUAAAUUUACAAAGGAAAAGAUAAUAGAAGAUUAUCAUCAGAAGAUAAAGUGAUCAUGCUUAAUCCAAGUUUAGCUCAAGUUUGGUGACUAUAUACCAAACUUGAGUAAAAUUACAAAACAAAAAAUUAUAUAUAUAUAUAUAUAUAUAUAUAUAUGCAACCCCUUCAGAGACUAACCAGAAAUCUGACUCACUGAACAGUGAGGAAGACAAAUACUAUCUAGAAACUCCUUUUAAGUCUCCACUCAAACAAAGCAAGCAAGACAAACUUGUAUCACUUCAGGAUUUGAACUUUUGAGAAUUUUUUAUUAAUUAUAAUGCAGCAUACUACUUUCAUAAGAAAUCAAAUGCAGAUCCAGCAGACAUGCAAAUAAAGUUACAGAAAUCUAGAUUUCAACUAAAAUCGAACAAGUACACCUAAAAAACAAAAGCACUAUGCAUUUCUUAAAUUUCUAGCCUUACUCCCGUUACAAGAAUCUACAGAUAUAUAAUCAAAGGGAGAAAAUCUUGUUAGUAGAGAGAAAUACGUCAAUGUUGAUCCACAACUUACCAUAGUAAGAUGACCGUCGUACCCCAUAGCCUACAGGUCCACUACAAAAAGGCCAACGUGCAAAAUAUGUCAAAAACUCAGUAACUUGUGGAGUCACCAGGAAAGAAGAAAAUGGCAUAUUUUUACCCAGUCCUAGCUUUUCUGCGCAUCUCUUCAGGCCUUUUUCUAGUCUCAGCAGCAACAACUACAGAUAUCUCCCUACCAGCAAAAAUCUGUCCAUUCAUUUGAUAUUGAGCCUCUGCAGCUUCAUAGGGAUCAACGAACUGCACAAAAGCAAAGCCACGAGGUUCCCUGCCAGAAGAAGCAGAGAGCAUCAUCAGAAGUUUGAAACUCGCAAUGCAAAAAUAAGUCACUAAGAAAACAAAACUAAUACUUACUAGUCAAAGUUAGCAAACAAAUUUAGUGUUAUUAAUAUCUUGCUUAAUAUACCUAUCAUUUCACUUAAAAGCAAAAACUUCAUUAUGUGAAAGAAGAAAGUAUCCAAAUGGCUCACCUUUUCUUUACAUUCAAGUAAGCAAGCAACUUCAAAAGAUGCAAAUUACUCGAAAUUUCUUGACAAGCUCGUAAACAUAUAACACAUUUGAAAUCAGCUUUCUUCCAGGAUUAAACUCUUCUCAUGUUGUCUUCACUUCUCAACUAUCAUUCUUCUUCGUCAUCAAACUUCUAUUGAUCGGUGUAAUUCAUAGUUUGUCUUCAUGAAGGACCACUCUUUAUUUGGAACAUUAACAGCCUUGGGAGGAAAAUAAUUAUAUGCUAUGAUAAAGAACAGGGCUUCAACAAUUGUGGGGCUUGGGCUUGUUUUUAACUUCAAACAAACAGACCCCCGUAC
rnacentral:lncRNA from 1 species